UUUUUUUUUUUUUUUUUGUUUUUUUGGGGGGGGGGGGGGGGGUGGGGAGGGAGGCUUUUGUCCCUGCAAUCAAAAGAGACAGGCUACAUGGCCCAUAACAUAGCCCAAAACUGGAACAGAAAUAUAGCCCAUUGUUCCGUUCCAAUUUCUGAAUUUUCCUCAUCAAAACCUUAUUCUUUUUUCUUUAUUGAUUGUUUUCUACAACUUAUGGAAAUAACUAUGCCGUAAUUUCUUUUCACCUUCAAACGAAGAGACAAGAAUUUCAAGAGUAAGGUAUUACAAAGUCUAUAUGUAUGUUCAAUUGUCAAAAUGAAAAUGUUUUUACACAACCCAAUAAUGAAAUUACAGCACAUCUGACAUAUUUGUUCCUUUUUUCUUUCACUUUUUUUUUUCAAUUGAGCAUUUUGAUAUGGAUUUCUCUAUUAUCUCAUAGCAUUAAUGCAUUUGUUGUUGUUGAGCUGAAUUUUAUUUAAGUACGUGCUCAAAAAUUCCAAACAUAAAAUUUGGUUAGAAAACCACUAAGGUGCAAAGAAACUAAUAAUAGUUAAGACCACAACAUCUGGUAGAUAAAAUUGAUAAUAUGAAAUAGUAAGGUCGUUCCAUGUUAACUACAUAACAUAGUUUAGUUAUAUCUAAAAAGUUUUGACAAACAUAUGAAAAAAUCCAUGUCGCUUUCAUAUCUUAUUAAUACCACUUAAGCAAUAGCAAAAUUAAUUGAAAAUUUUUAAAAAAAAAGUAAGGGAUUAGAUGGUAAUCAGUAGAUUAGGUAGGUGAGAUGGGAGAUUGUAGCCAAUUUGAAUGCAACUACCAGUUCACAGAACCUAGAAUAAGAUAUUUUGGCUGAUUAAAUCCUUGGAUUAGGGUCUAUACCUCAAAUGGUUAGCAACUUACCAAUUUGUAUUAGACUUCCAGAUCUCAUUCAGUUUGUGUUCAACUAACUUGUUUUUAUGUACUAUUUUUAAAUGAAAUACAGGUCAAAUUGGACACACACUCAUUUUUGGUGAGUUCUGAUCAAAUUAAUAGAGUCAAGUGAUGUUUAUAAUUUGAAGUGAUUUUCAUCAUAUCGUUUUCAAAAUAUAGAUUCUUUGAGCUACUGAUGGGCUUUUGAUAUAAGUACAAGUUUAAUUCCGAAAUAUACCAUUUUUGACUGCAAGUAUACAGGUUAAAUUAGUAGUUUAUGGCAAAUAUCGGGUCAAUCCCAUGAGAAAGAUUGGACAAAUACCGGCACUACUAAAACUUCUCUAUUAUUUAGACGAUCAAUGAAUUAAAAGAGAUAAAACUAUAUUAAAACUUAUGCAAGAUAAAAACAAAUGAAAGCUCCUUAGAUUAUGGUAUUUCUAACCAUUCAUGCAAAUGCUAUUUUUGGAUCAUUGAUUACUACUAUCUUGACUAGUUAUGGCGUAAUUUUCUUAUGCAUGUGAAACCUACUCUCGUAAUGAAUCAACUAUACUUAUAACUAAUCCAUGCCUACUCUCGUGGUUAUUAAAUUAGCUACAAGUUCAUUUCUUCUAUGAAAUUACAUGAAAUGAAUCACUAAAGCCACAUAGACGCACUUCUACUCUCGUGAGUGUACUCCCUAGGUUUAGCACUUUUUGAACUAGUGUUAAAUCUCAAUUUUCAUUGAAGAAACAACACAUUUAGUAAUCACAAUUAAUGGUACCAAGUUAAUCAUGAUUUAAAGAGCUAAAGUGCUAAAUAACUUGCUCAAAAUAAUCGCAUCAAAUAGCCAAAUAAUAAACACUAACAAUCAAAGAAAGUUUAACCAAACCCAAGGCAUUAACUUUAGAUACACAUAGUGAAUAUAAACUUUAAUGUAUACCAGACGCCCUGGUUAUUUCGACUAUUGGAAUUAAUGAUGCUUACAUGCAAAAUUACAAACCUUAUUGGACAGUGAUUCCAUGAAAUCUUUAGGUGAAACUAGAAAUCAGGUAAUUGAUAGUUGGAAUUGUAGACUUUUUAUACAUAAUAUGUUUUCUUUUUAUCUUUUUUUUUUUUUUAGAAAAAUAUAGUAAUUGGGAAAUCAAUGUCCGAUUGCUGACGUCUUCACAAUUUUCAAAGUCCGAUCACCUUUGCAUGAGCUCAUUGUCCAUAUUUACAUUUUUUACUUUAAUUUCCAUUUUUUUAAAUUUUUUAUUGAUUUGUUGUUUUUUCUUUUUUUUCAUAUUCUGUUUUGGGUUUUUCUCCUUUUUUUUUAUUUUGGUAUAUUGUGUUAUGUUACUUGAUGAUGACGAUGAUUUAGUAAAGUUCAAAAAUUUCUAUUUGAAUUGGAUAUAUAUUUUUUAAUUUUCUAAUGACGAUUAUACAUAUUGUCAAUCUUUGGUGUUAUUCAAUUGGAUACCUCAAAUUUUAAUAGAUAAAUUCAAAAGAAUUAAUCUUUUUUUGUUAUAACAAUUUUAGGUCCCAUUUUAAGAUAGAAAAGAAUUAUUUCUUUUUUUUGUGACAAUUUUAUGUCCCAUUUAACCAUAUAAGAGAGGAAAUUUUUAAUGAAAAUAAAAUUGGGAUGUUAAAUUUAGACAAAAACAUAAUAAGAGUGAAGUCUGAUGAUUCUCUUAGUGAAGGAUGUCUGUACAAGAUAGGUAUUUUGGAGAUAUUAGUCUAUGUCUGCUUAUCUGUGUGAGAUCAAUGGAGGCUGUUUUGUUAAUAUUAUUCUUGUUUUGUGCGGCAGCAAUAUACACGGUAAAAAAAAUUAUAGGUUCAUUUUCCACCUUAGAUUGUUAGUUAUAAUGCUCAUGCAAUUAGCUACUAGAUUAGUACUAUCAAUGAUCUAUCUGCCUACAAAUGGCCAUAUGAUAUGGAUUUCUCUAUUAUCUCACUGCAUUUAUGCAUUCAUUGUUAUUAAACUGAAUUUUAUAUUAGUACUUGCUCAAAAAUUAUAAAGAUAAAAUUCAGUUAGAAUACCACUAAGGAGCAAAGAAGCUAAUAAUAGUUAAAUCCUCAACAUCUAGCAUAUAAAAUUGAUAACAAGAAAUUUGUAACUUCAUUCCAAGUUAAUUGACAGGUUGUCGAAGCCUGUGCAAUAACAAAAACCUGUUCAAUUAAAGUAAAUUUCUGUAGAUAGCGGUGAGCAGGGUCGAAUCCACAGGGAUUGGGAGUAAUUGUUUCUUUUCAAAUUCACAGUGACAAGGGAGGUAUUUUUAUAUCAGGGGUGACAAUCUAAGCAAUUCAACUAAAAGUAAAAUAAUAAAAAUAAAAUAGCCAACUAAAAAUUAAAUAACAAUUUACUAAAAUCUAAUGAGUAAUAAUUAAGGAUCUAACCAAGAAAUAACUUCAGCAAUGGUGCACCCAAUUGAUCAUCGAAACAAAGGCAAUUUCAAUUAUUUAUCAAUAAAUAGGUUAUAACUACCAAACAAGCGAUGACAGUCAACCCCUCCUUAUUGUGUCGGUGAUUAAGGUACGCCCGUUAAUCACUGCUCUAAUUGAAAAAUAAUCCUAAGUACGCCCGUAAGAUUUAAUUUUCCAAUUGCCUUACAUAUUAGAGAAGCGCUAUUCUAACCAAAUAACGCACUACCAGGAUUAUUUUAGAUUAGCCCGCGUAUUCCCCUGACACAAAUCUAAUCAUGCCAGUUGUCACUAUUUUGAGGUAAUUAAACAAUUACGAAUUUAACACCUCAAUUGAUAAUAGAUUAUUAAAUUAACUAAUUAUCCGGAUCCAAGACAAUCAAUUAAUUAAACAACCAUAAGCACUGCAACCAGGGAAUAUGCAAAUACCAAUAAAUAAAAGAAACAGAUUAAAAUUAAAUCGAUCUCACAAUUUUAGGCGACCCAAAGCAUCCGUUGUUUCUUAGCUAGAAAAGGAGAGUUAAUUCAUCUCUAUGGAGAAAAUCCCAUGCGACAAUUUAGCAGUAAUUGUCGAGGACAUUCUUCUUUAUAUGAUGAAGAAAUCCGAAUAAUUAAGAAUAAGAGGAAAAGUACAAAGUGGAAGGGGAUGCUAAUGUCUUCUCCGUAGCCUCUAGCCAGAGGCUUACGGGAAUAAUCCCAAGUGAAGUCACGGCUGCCCCCAACUCAAUCUGUUGCUUUAUUUGUUUCUAUCUUGCGGCCGGCCCUACUCCCAAAAGCACUAGAGUCCUAAUCAAACUUUGGCUUUCUUUUUUCCCGCUGAGCUGCCAUCCCAAAAGUAAGGAAACUUACUUACUAUGCCAAACUGCUCUCGUUAAUUCAAAUCAAAUGACCAGCUAAUAGAGUAUUUACGGCUCCCAUAUUGCACUUUCAAUUGGUGGUUGAUAUCACACGUCUUUCUCGUACCUUCUGGACUUGUGAAGAUUUGAGUUGACACAACCCCGCCAGACAGCACUUGGAAUGCGAGAUUUUCACUCAUUUUAUUAUAUUUUGCUCCAAGUCCCUAUGAUAAGUACAAAUGCCAAAAAUGAGUAGAAUCGGACAAUUAAUCCAUAUUGGAUCAGGUAAUAGGGGAAAUUAAUAAUAAAAUAAAUGAUAAAAUUACACCCUAUUUGAUAAUGGAACAGCAAUUGAACAAACACCAAUAUUUGAUAAUGGCUAUUGCUCUACCUACCAUAUUGCCAAGAUAUCAAGAAAAAUAUAUAUCAAGCAUCAGUGAUCAAGAUCCAAGAAACAUCACUUCGGUUAGCUUCUAAACCGCAAACUCCUCUAAUUUCAGGUUAACUAAUCUAAGAAGAAGGAAUGACGCACAACAUUUGUCAGCAAAUGGUCCAACUAUUAACCAACAUCUCAACAUUAAAUCCAUAAUUCGUCAAGCUGACUCAUAUCACACACUAACACAACCUUUAUUUUUUCACAUUUUUCUACUUUUCUUUUUUUUUAUUAUUUUUUUGCUUUUCCCAAUAAUAACAAAAGACUUAGUCGCUAGCCAUUGACCAGUCUGCCGCCGCCUCUCCCUCACUCGCCGUCCACGCUGCCAUCGCCCACACCAGCGGUCACCCUCGCUGCCAAGCCGCUGCCCGCGCUCAUCUCUCUCUCUACGACCACAACCACCACUUCUCCUCCUGCCCAGCAGCGCACCACCACGCAACCUCCUCCAGUUCACCACCCUCUCGGCCACCUCAGCUCACGUUCCACCAAAGCCACAAGCAGCCGCGCGCAUCUCCCGUUCUCCUCCAUUGCCGCACGUCAUCACCUGUCAAAAUUGACAGGUGGAGGUAUUGUAAUUUCUUCCCCGAUUAGCAUAAAUUUCUGGAAUUUGUGUUUGGGUUUCUGAUGAUUAGAAGAAGGUGUUGUUUUGGGAAAUUUCUAGGGUAAAAUUGUGGACGGAAUUGGGUUCAAUUGCUGCCAUAUGUGGGGAUAUUUCCUGAGAUUUAUUGAGUUGCUGCUGUUUGAUUUAAAUCUUACCUGUGUAUACACCAGUGGUACUGGUUGUGCUAAUUUGCUUACAAUUUCUUAUUUCGAUAUGAUUGAGCAUCUGUGACUGAGUAUCCUUCGAUCUUGCUGCUUUGUUGGGAUCGUUUUUGGUGUCAAUUGAGUAUCAUUUGGUACUUUCUGCCUAGAGUCUAUUGAGCUGCCUUUGGUUGGGGUUUAUUGCAUUUAAUUGAUGCAUUGGACGGCUCCUGUGCCAUUUCCGUUGCUUAUUGAAGUAGGUUGCCUCUAUUUGCCUUGGGAGUUAUUUGCCCAAUUGACUACCAUUUUGGUCUUUUCGAUUUCUGGUACUGCUUGGCGUUGCUUGGAAUUAUCAAUACUUUGGGUUGGUCAUUUGCUUUAAUUUUUCCCUGUGCCUCCACCAGUGGUACUGGUUGGAGUAAUUGGACCUGGAUUUGUUACUUUUAUUUGGUUGGUUGCCUGCCUAAUAGCUACGAGUUUGUAAUUGAGAUACUGAGGUCAAAGUUGUGCGCUACUUUGCUGGAUUAUGUUGGUUUCGAAGGUCAUAUGCUUAUUACUGUGAGCGGUUAUGCUUUAUGGGAAUGUUCGCAACUAGUGGUUGGGUGGAUUUUCCUUGAAUUGCUUGAUAGCAAUUGGUAGAGUACAUUUGAAUUGGUGGGCUGUGGUUUCAAUUGUGGUAGCUGGCCUGUUUUGGUCUUGUCAAAAUUUGGAUCUACUAUUGCUAGAAUUGUCGAUUUUGAGUUGAGAUACUCACUGACCGAUUGGAGCCUUUGUUGAGAUUUUGGGUGGACAGAGUUUGGCAUUUGCUGGUUGAAUUGAGUUAUGAUGUCUCAGAACUUGGGCGCGUACUUCCACCACAUCGGUUUCCCUCCAUCGUCCCCGCCUACCCCGUAGCCACUUGAGAGGGAAGUUUCGUUGUCCUCUUCACUUUAAUUGCUUUAAUUCCUCCAUUGAGGACAAUGUAGGAUCUAGGUGUGGGGGGGGGACAGCUAUACUAGUUCUUUAUUUUUAAUUUGCUAUUUGUCCACCUUUCGUUCAAUGUCUUUCUUCCUUUUUAAUGAUUAGCUCAUAAGUGAUGCCAAGGUUUGAUGUUGGAUUAUUGUCUCUAUUUCUACUUUUGCCAAUUUUAAUAAUAAAAGGGCAUCAAGUUAAUGUGGUUGAAUCCAAAAACAUCUCUUUGGUGAAUAUUAAUAAUUGUUUUACUUUUAUAAUUUUUGGUUAACUUUUCUAGGCAUAGGGAAUGGUUAUUGGCAUUUUCAUGUGAAUUGGUCCGGUUAUUAACUUUAGUUCUCCAUAUUUAAAAAUAGGACUAGCAGCUGCAAAGUUCCUUUUGAUUUUUGUGUUAUUUUGAAUUUUUGGUAUUAUUUGGCUGUGAAUAAGAGUUGACUGUACUCCGCUAGUAUUUACUACCGAGUAACCGGGGAUCUUCACCAAAAGUGUUGAUUCUCGCGUCAAAAGGUAGUAAUUGCUAUGAGUACGUGGUCACGUGGCGAUAGAAGCUGAGUAACCGGGCUCUUUCAUCUGGCCAAUGUUGGAGCUCGCGUCAAAAGGCUCAAAUGGCUAGCGACUAAGUCUUUUGUUACAAAAAAAAAGAGAAUCAAAAAAAAAAAAAGAGGAGAGAAAAGUAGAAAAAAAUGUGAAAAAAGGUGAAAGUUGUGUUAGUGUGUAAUAAAAGUCAGCUUGCCGAAUUAUGAAUUUAGCGUUGAGAUUAUGGUUAAUAGUUGGACCAUUUGCUGAUAAAUGUUAUGCGUCAUUCCUUUUUCUUAGAUUAGUUAACCUGAAAUUAGAGGAGUUUGUGGUUUAGAAGCUAACCGAAGUGAUGUUUCUUGGAUCUUGAUCACCCAUGCUUGAUAUAUAUUUUUCUUGGUAUUUUGGCAAUAUGGUAGAUGGAGCAAUGACCAUUGUCAAAUAUUGGUACUUAUUUGUUGUUCUCAUGCUUGAGGACAAGCAUGGUCUAGGUGUGGGGGGAAUUGAUAGGGUGUAAUUUUAUCAUUUAUUUUAUUAUUAAUUUUCCCUAUUACCUGACCCGAUGUGGAUUAAUUGCUGGAUUCUACUCAUUUUUAGUGUUUUGCAUAUAUUCCAGGGAGUAGAACAAAAAUAUGAUAACAAGUGCUAAUUUGACAAAAAAGGAGUCUAAGGCACAGAGCUUAUCCCAGGGGCAUUGUUGGCAAAGGCAAACUUAUGCCCAUUUUAGUAAUUGCCGAAGACAAAAGCAUUAAAAGGAGCAACGAAGGGCUGAAGGCAGGGGUCGGCUUCUUCCUCUCCGGAAGGAGAGCCGCCGCAGAGGAGAUAGGAAAUAUAGAAAUAGCAUAGGACUAGCACUACGGAAGCUUAGCUUUUGAUUUCUCUUUGGAGAGCUUUUCGUCUUGUAGCUUAGCCGCAGUUGUUGACUUUUCUUCUUAGUCUUUGUUAGUUAGCUUUUUCUUACGCAUGGAAGAUUGCUGAGGAGCUUAGCUUAUGUCUUUGAUUCUGCCUAUUCAAUUUCUCUUCUCCGAAUGUCGGACAAAAGCGAACACACUCAGUGGACUCUUGUAGCUUUCUUUCUUUAUUGAAUAGACGAAUUGAAUUCGCCCAGCUUCCCAAUUGAUGGCUGCAGCUUUUGCUACAAUUUCUGGCGGAUUUAGUUCAUCAAUUAUGAACUAAUUUUCUUUUUCUAGUCAAGGAGCAACGAAGGCUCUGGUUCGUCUGAAAAUUGUGAGAUCGAUUUAAUUUAAUCUUUUCCUUUUAUUUAUUGGUAUCCGCAUAUUUCUUGAUUGCUAUGCUUAUGGUUAUUUUAUUAAUUGGUUGUCUUGGAUCCAGAUAAUUAAUUGAUUGGGUAAUCUAUUGUCAAUUGGGGUAUUAAAUCCGUAAUUGUUUAAUUACCUCAAAAUAGUGACAACUGGCUCGAUUAGAUUCGUGUCAGGGGGAUACGCGGGCUAAUCUAAAAUAACCCUGGUAGUGCGUUAUUUGGUUAGAAUAGGGCUCCUCUAAUACGUAAGGCAAUUGGGGAAUUAAAUCUUACGGGCGUACUUAGGAUUAUUUCUCAAUUAGAGCAGUGAUUAACGGGCGUACCUUAAUCACCGACACAAUAAGGAGGGGUUGACUGCCAUCGCUUGUUUGGUAGUUAUAACCUAUUUAUUGAUGAAUAAUUGGAAUUGCCUUUGCUUAUCGAUGAUCAAUUAGGUGAACCAUUGCUGAAGUUAUUUCUUGGCUAGAUCCUUAAUUAUCAUUCAUUUGAUUUUAGUAAUUUGUUAUUUAAUUUCUAGUUGGCUAUUUUAUUUUUAUUAUUUUUAGUUGAAUUGUUUAAAUUGUCACCCCUGAGAUAAAAACACCCCCUUGUCACUGUGAAUUUAAAAAGAAACAAUUACUCCCAGUCCCUGUGGAUUCGACCCUGCUUACCACUAUCUGCAGAAAUUAAUUUUAGUUUGAGCAGGUUUUAUUAUUGCACAGGCUUCGACAACCUGUCAAUUUUUGGACAGCUAUACUAAUUCUUUAUUUUUAAUUUGCUAUUUGUCCACCUUUCGUUCAAUGUCUUUCUUCCUUUUUAAUGAUUAGCUCAUAAGUGAUGCCAAGGUUUGAUGUUGGAUUAUUGUCUCUAUUUCUACUUUUGCCAAUUUUAAUAAUAAAAGGGUAUCAAGUUAAUGUGGUUGAAUCCAAAAACAUCUCUUUGGUGAAUAUUAAUAAUUGUUUUACUUUUAUAAUUUUUGGUUAACUUUUCUAGGCAUAGGGAAUGGUUAUUGGCAUUUUCAUGUGAAUUGGUCCGGUUAUUAACUUUAGUUCUCCAUAUUUAAAAAUAGGACUAGCAGCUGCAAAGUUCCUUUUGAUUUUUGUGUUAUUUUGAAUUUUUGGUAUUAUUUGGCUGUGAAUAAGAGUUGACUGUACUCCGCUAGUAUUUACUACCGAGUAACCGGGGAUCUUCACCAAAAGUGUUGAUUCUCGCGUCAAAAGGUAGUAAUUGCUAUGAGUACAUGGUCACGUGGCGAUAGAAGCUGAGUAACCGGGCUCUUUCAUCUGGCCAAUGUUGGAGUUCGCGUCAAAAGGCUCAAAUGGCUAGCGACUAAGUCUUUUGUUACAAAAAAAAAAAGAGAAUCAAAAAAAAAAAAGAGGAGAGAAAAGUAGAAAAAAAAUGUGAAAAAAGGUGAAGGUUGUGUUAGUGUGUAAUAAAAGUCAGCUUGCCGAAUUAUGAAUUUAGCGUUGAGAUUAUGGUUAAUAGUUGGACCAUUUGCUGAUAAAUGUUAUGCGUCAUUCCUUUUUCUUAGAUUAGUUAACCUGAAAUUAGAGGAGUUUGUGGUUUAGAAGCUAACCGAAGUGAUGUUUCUUGGAUCUUGAUCACCCAUGCUUGAUAUAUAUUUUUCUUGGUAUUUUGGCAGUAUGGUAGAUGGAGCAAUGACCAUUGUCAAAUAUUGGUACUUAUUUGUUGUUCUCAUGCUUGAGGACAAGCAUGGUCUAGGUGUGGGGGGAAUUGAUAGGGUGUAAUUUUAUCAUUUAUUUUAUUAUUAAUUUUCCCUAUUACCUGACCCGAUGUGGAUUAAUUGCUGGAUUCUACUCAUUUUUAGUGUUUUGCAUAUAUUCCAGGGAGUAGAACAAAAAUAUGAUAACAAGUGCUAAUUUGACAAAAAAGGAGUCUAAGGCACAGAGCUUAUCCCAGGGGCAUUGCUGGCAAAGGCAAACUUAUGCCCAUUUUAGUAAUUGCCGAAGACAAAAGCAUUAAAAGGAGCAACGAAGGGCUGAAGGCAGGGGUCGGCUUCUUCCUCUCCGGAAGGAGAGCCGCCGCAGAGGAGAUAGGAAAUAUAGAAAUAGCAUAGGACUAGCACUACGGAAGCUUAGCUUUUGAUUUCUCUUUGGAGAGCUUUUCGUCUUGUAGCUUAGCCGCAGUUGUUGACUUUUCUUCUUAGUCUUUGUUAGUUAGCUUUUUCUUACGCAUGGAAGAUUGCUGAGGAGCUUAGCUUAUGUCUUUGAUUCUGCCUAUUCAAUUUCUCUUCUCCGAAUGUCGGACAAAAGCGAACACACUCAGUGGACUCUUGUAGCUUUCUUUCUUUAUUGAAUAGACGAAUUGAAUUCGCCCAGCUUCCCAAUUGAUGGCUGCAGCUUUUGCUACAAUUUCUGGCGGAUUUAGUUCAUCAAUUAUGAACUAAUUUUCUUUUUCUAGUCAAGGAGCAACGAAGGCUCUGGUUCGUCUGAAAAUUGUGAGAUCGAUUUAAUUUAAUCUUUUCCUUUUAUUUAUUGGUAUCCGCAUAUUUCUUGAUUGCUAUGCUUAUGGUUAUUUUAUUAAUUGGUUGUCUUGGAUCCAGAUAAUUAAUUGAUUGGGUAAUCUAUUGUCAAUUGGGGUAUUAAAUCCGUAAUUGUUUAAUUACCUCAAAAUAGUGACAACUGGCUCGAUUAGAUUCGUGUCAGGGGGAUACGCGGGCUAAUCUAAAAUAACCCUGGUAGUGCGUUAUUUGGUUAGAAUAGGGCUCCUCUAAUACGUAAGGCAAUUGGGGAAUUAAAUCUUACGGGCGUACUUAGGAUUAUUUCUCAAUUAGAGCAGUGAUUAACGGGCGUACCUUAAUCACCGACACAAUAAGGAGGGGUUGACUGCCAUCGCUUGUUUGGUAGUUAUAACCUAUUUAUUGAUGAAUAAUUGGAAUUGCCUUUGCUUAUCGAUGAUCAAUUAGGUGAACCAUUGCUGAAGUUAUUUCUUGGCUAGAUCCUUAAUUAUCAUUCAUUUGAUUUUAGUAAUUUGUUAUUUAAUUUCUAGUUGGCUAUUUUAUUUUUAUUAUUUUUAGUUGAAUUGUUUAAAUUGUCACCCCUGAGAUAAAAACACCCCCUUGUCACUGUGAAUUUAAAAAGAAACAAUUACUCCCAGUCCCUGUGGAUUCGACCCUGCUUACCACUAUCUGCAGAAAUUAAUUUUAGUUUGAGCAGGUUUUAUUAUUGCACAGGCUUCGACAACCUGUCAAUUUUUGGACAGCUAUACUAAUUCUUUAUUUUUAAUUUGCUAUUUGUCCACCUUUCGUUCAAUGUCUUUCUUCCUUUUUAAUGAUUAGCUCAUAAGUGAUGCCAAGGUUUGAUGUUGGAUUAUUGUCUCUAUUUCUACUUUUGCCAAUUUUAAUAAUAAAAGGGUAUCAAGUUAAUGUGGUUGAAUCCAAAAACAUCUCUUUGGUGAAUAUUAAUAAUUGUUUUACUUUUAUAAUUUUUGGUUAACUUUUCUAGGCAUAGGGAAUGGUUAUUGGCAUUUUCAUGUGAAUUGGUCCGGUUAUUAACUUUAGUUCUCCAUAUUUAAAAAUAGGACUAGCAGCUGCAAAGUUCCUUUUGAUUUUUGUGUUAUUUUGAAUUUUUGGUAUUAUUUGGCUGUGAAUAAGAGUUGACUGUACUCCGCUAGUAUUUACUACCGAGUAACCGGGGAUUUUCACCAAAAGUGUUGAUUCUCGCGUCAAAAGGUAGUAAUUGCUAUGAGUACAUGGUCACGUGGCGAUAGAAGCUGAGUAACCGGGCUCUUUCAUCUGGCCAAUGUUGGAGUUCGCGUCAAAAGGCUCAAAUGGCUAGCGACUAAGUCUUUUGUUACAAAAAAAAAAAGAGAAUCAAAAAAAAAAAAGAGGAGAGAAAAGUAGAAAAAAAAUGUGAAAAAAGGUGAAGGUUGUGUUAGUGUGUAAUAAAAGUCAGCUUGCCGAAUUAUGAAUUUAGCGUUGAGAUUAUGGUUAAUAGUUGGACCAUUUGCUGAUAAAUGUUAUGCGUCAUUCCUUUUUCUUAGAUUAGUUAACCUGAAAUUAGAGGAGUUUGUGGUUUAGAAGCUAACCGAAGUGAUGUUUCUUGGAUCUUGAUCACCCAUGCUUGAUAUAUAUUUUUCUUGGUAUUUUGGCAAUAUGGUAGAUGGAGCAAUGACCAUUGUCAAAUAUUGGUACUUAUUUGUUGUUCUCAUGCUUGAGGACAAGUAUGGUCUAGGUGUGGGGGGAAUUGAUAGGGUGUAAUUUUAUCAUUUAUUUUAUUAUUAAUUUUCCCUAUUACCUGACCCGAUGUGGAUUAAUUGCUGGAUUCUACUCAUUUUUAGUGUUUUGCAUAUAUUCCAGGGAGUAGAACAAAAAUAUGAUAACAAGUGCUAAUUUGACAAAAAAGGAGUCUAAGGCACAGAGCUUAUCCCAGGGGCAUUGCUGGCAAAGGCAAACUUAUGCCCAUUUUAGUAAUUGCCGAAGACAAAAGCAUUAAAAGGAGCAACGAAGGGCUGAAGGCAGGGGUCGGCUUCUUCCUCUCCGGAAGGAGAGCCGCCGCAGAGGAGAUAGGAAAUAUAGAAAUAGCAUAGGACUAGCACUACGGAAGCUUAGCUUUUGAUUUCUCUUUGGAGAGCUUUUCGUCUUGUAGCUUAGCCGCAGUUGUUGACUUUUCUUCUUAGUCUUUGUUAGUUAGCUUUUUCUUACGCAUGGAAGAUUGCUGAGGAGCUUAGCUUAUGUCUUUGAUUCUGCCUAUUCAAUUUCUCUUCUCCGAAUGUCGGACAAAAGCGAACACACUCAGUGGACUCUUGUAGCUUUCUUUCUUUAUUGAAUAGACGAAUUGAAUUCGCCCAGCUUCCCAAUUGAUGGCUGCAGCUUUUGCUACAAUUUCUGGCGGAUUUAGUUCAUCAAUUAUGAACUAAUUUUCUUUUUCUAGUCAAGGAGCAACGAAGGCUCUGGUUCGUCUGAAAAUUGUGAGAUCGAUUUAAUUUAAUCUUUUCCUUUUAUUUAUUGGUAUCCGCAUAUUUCUUGAUUGCUAUGCUUAUGGUUAUUUUAUUAAUUGGUUGUCUUGGAUCCAGAUAAUUAAUUGAUUGGGUAAUCUAUUGUCAAUUGGGGUAUUAAAUCCGUAAUUGUUUAAUUACCUCAAAAUAGUGACAACUGGCUCGAUUAGAUUCGUGUCAGGGGGAUACGCGGGCUAAUCUAAAAUAACCCUGGUAGUGCGUUAUUUGGUUAGAAUAGGGCUCCUCUAAUACGUAAGGCAAUUGGGGAAUUAAAUCUUACGGGCGUACUUAGGAUUAUUUCUCAAUUAGAGCAGUGAUUAACGGGCGUACCUUAAUCACCGACACAAUAAGGAGGGGUUGACUGCCAUCGCUUGUUUGGUAGUUAUAACCUAUUUAUUGAUGAAUAAUUGGAAUUGCCUUUGCUUAUCGAUGAUCAAUUAGGUGAACCAUUGCUGAAGUUAUUUCUUGGCUAGAUCCUUAAUUAUCAUUCAUUUGAUUUUAGUAAUUUGUUAUUUAAUUUCUAGUUGGCUAUUUUAUUUUUAUUAUUUUUAGUUGAAUUGUUUAAAUUGUCACCCCUGAGAUAAAAACACCCCCUUGUCACUGUGAAUUUAAAAAGAAACAAUUACUCCCAGUCCCUGUGGAUUCGACCCUGCUUACCACUAUCUGCAGAAAUUAAUUUUAGUUUGAGCAGGUUUUAUUAUUGCACAGGCUUCGACAACCUGUCAAUUUUUGGACAGCUAUACUAAUUCUUUAUUUUUAAUUUGCUAUUUGUCCACCUUUCGUUCAAUGUCUUUCUUCCUUUUUAAUGAUUAGCUCAUAAGUGAUGCCAAGGUUUGAUGUUGGAUUAUUGUCUCUAUUUCUACUUUUGCCAAUUUUAAAAAUAAAAGGGUAUCAAGUUAAUGUGGUUGAAUCCAAAAACAUCUCUUUGGUGAAUAUUAAUAAUUGUUUUACUUUUAUAAUUUUUGGUUAACUUUUCUAGGCAUAGGGAAUGGUUAUUGGCAUUUUCAUGUGAAUUGGUCCGGUUAUUAACUUUAGUUCUCCAUAUUUAAAAAUAGGACUAGCAGCUGCAAAGUUCCUUUUGAUUUUUGUGUUAUUUUGAAUUUUUGGUAUUAUUUGGCUGUGAAUAAGAGUUGACUGUACUCCGCUAGUAUUUACUACCGAGUAACCGGGGAUCUUCACCAAAAGUGUUGAUUCUCGCGUCAAAAGGUAGUAAUUGCUAUGAGUACGUGGUCACGUGGCGAUAGAAGCUGAGUAACCGAGCUCUUUCAUCUGGCCAAUGUUGGAGCUCGCGUCAAAAGGCUCAAAUGGCUAGCGACUAAGUCUUUUGUUACAAAAAAAAAGAGAAUCAAAAAAAAAAAAAGAGGAGAGAAAAGUAGAAAAAAAUGUGAAAAAAGGUGAAGGUUGUGUUAGUGUGUAAUAAAAGUCAGCUUGCCGAAUUAUGAAUUUAGCGUUGAGAUUAUGGUUAAUAGUUGGACCAUUUGCUGAUAAAUGUUAUGCGUCAUUCCUUUUUCUUAGAUUAGUUAACCUGAAAUUAGAGGAGUUUGUGGUUUAGAAGCUAACCGAAGUGAUGUUUCUUGGAUCUUGAUCACCCAUGCUUGAUAUAUAUUUUUCUUGGUAUUUUGGCAGUAUGGUAGAUGGAGCAAUGACCAUUGUCAAAUAUUGGUACUUAUUUGUUGUUCUCAUGCUUGAGGACAAGCAUGGUCUAGGUGUGGGGGGAAUUGAUAGGGUGUAAUUUUAUCAUUUAUUUUAUUAUUAAUUUUCCCUAUUACCUGACCCGAUGUGGAUUAAUUGCUGGAUUCUACUCAUUUUUAGUGUUUUGCAUAUAUUCCAGGGAGUAGAACAAAAAUAUGAUAACAAGUGCUAAUUUGACAAAAAAGGAGUCUAAGGCACAGAGCUUAUCCCAGGGGCAUUGCUGGCAAAGGCAAACUUAUGCCCAUUUUAGUAAUUGCCGAAGACAAAAGCAUUAAAAGGAGCAACGAAGGGCUGAAGGCAGGGGUCGGCUUCUUCCUCUCCGGAAGGAGAGCCGCCGCAGAGGAGAUAGGAAAUAUAGAAAUAGCAUAGGACUAGCACUACGGAAGCUUAGCUUUUGAUUUCUCUUUGGAGAGCUUUUCGUCUUGUAGCUUAGCCGCAGUUGUUGACUUUUCUUCUUAGUCUUUGUUAGUUAGCUUUUUCUUACGCAUGGAAGAUUGCUGAGGAGCUUAGCUUAUGUCUUUGAUUCUGCCUAUUCAAUUUCUCUUCUCCGAAUGUCGGACAAAAGCGAACACACUCAGUGGACUCUUGUAGCUUUCUUUCUUUAUUGAAUAGACGAAUUGAAUUCGCCCAGCUUCCCAAUUGAUGGCCGCAGCUUUUGCUACAAUUUCUGGCGGAUUUAGUUCAUCAAUUAUGAACUAAUUUUCUUUUUCUAGUCAAGGAGCAACGAAGGCUCUGGUUCGUCUGAAAAUUGUGAGAUCGAUUUAAUUUAAUCUUUUCCUUUUAUUUAUUGGUAUCCGCAUAUUUCUUGAUUGCUAUGCUUAUGGUUAUUUUAUUAAUUGGUUGUCUUGGAUCCAGAUAAUUAAUUGAUUGGGUAAUCUAUUGUCAAUUGGGGUAUUAAAUCCGUAAUUGUUUAAUUACCUCAAAAUAGUGACAACUGGCUCGAUUAGAUUCGUGUCAGGGGGAUACGCGGGCUAAUCUAAAAUAACCCUGGUAGUGCGUUAUUUGGUUAGAAUAGGGCUCCUCUAAUACGUAAGCCAAUUGGGGAAUUAAAUUCUACGGGCGUACCUAGGAUUAUUUCUCAAUUAGAGCAGUGAUUAACGGGCGUACCUUGAUCACCGACACAGUAAGGAGGGGUUGACUGCCAUUGCUUGUUUGGUAGUUAUAACCUAUUUAUUAGUAAAUAAUUAGAAUUGCCUUUGCUUAUCGAUGAUCAAUUAGGUGAACCAUUGCUGAAGUUAUUCCUGGGCUAGAUUCUUAAUUAUCAUUCAUUUGAUUUUAGUAAUUUGUUAUUUAAUUUUUAGUAGUUUCUUAGAUUUUAUUUGAAUUUAUUUGAUUGUCACUUUCUGCACAAAAACACCCCCUUGUCACUGUGAACUUGAAAAGAAACAAUUACUCCCAGUCCCUGUGGAUUCGACCCUGCUCACCACUAUCUACAGAAAUUAUUUUUAGUUUGAGCAGGUAUUUAUUAUUGCACAGGUUUCGACAACCUGUCACGCAUCAAAAUCAGGAACAUUAAAUUUAGACAGGCUUAUCCUACCAAAUAGCGCCGCAUUAAUACAUAAAAUCGCGCAAGGUUAUGUGCUAAAGGCAAUCAAAAACCUAAAAGCAUAGAAACAACAGAACUAAUGAAUAUCUAAUUAAUUGCGAAAGCAAAAGCACAAGGCACGACACAUCAAGGCAGUAAAAUAGUAAUUGGGAAAAUAAAAGCUGAAUAUGGCUACAGCUUAAAAACUAAGGCUAAAUAAAAGUACAAAUAUGCAUAUUGUUAAAAAGUAGUAGAAAACAUAAAGAGAUACCAGUAAGCUUAAACCUAGAUUUUGUGACCGGUAUGAACAGGAAGCAAGACCAGAGGAAGAACCUGCUUAAAAAAUAUGGUGGAAAAGCAAGAAUUUUUAAAAAGUUACAGACAAACAACAAUACAAGUGAAAAAGCAAAAGACCUUGAACACAAGAAAAUAAAUAUGCUAAAAAAACACCAAGAAAAUGCAGCUUCCUAUCCUAUACAUGAUAUCAUCAGCUUGGUAGUAAAAAGCGAAAGGGGAAAAAAGGAUCUAACCAAAAAAUACAGAUUAAUAACAAGUCUACAUGCUAACUGAAACUAAAUAGAAAAUUAGUACGAGCAUAUGAGUAGUAAAAAACCAGAACAUUCACAAGAAUCAUAUGCAUGUUAAAAAUGCUAUGAUGAUACUAAAGGACUAAACAUAAUUCAUUAAGAAAAAGAUGAUGAUGUCUUUCAAAAAAGCCUCUGGAAUACGCAACCUCACGAGGCAGAGUGAAAAGAAUACACUGACAGCAAAAAGAGAUUGAAAACAUUGGAAGUACAAUCAUACCCAUGAUUUUUUUUUUUUUUUGUCUAAAGUCAUUCAUUUAUAUCAUCAGAUGUUUGACACCUACAAGUACAUGUAUAUUUUAGCUGGCAACUGCCAGAUGAUCACUUUGUGCAGCCACAGAGGUCCACAUAGGGAAGAUACUCUUCCACCUAGUAAAAUCAUGUUGGUUUUAGCUUGUAGGUUGUAAGACAAAAAUGGUUACCAAUCAAAACAUGCUUGUAAAUCCCAUUUCACAGGCAACACUUGAUUUAUCAUUGUGGACCAGAAUUUAUAACGCGAACCAAAAAAAAGGAACCACGUGGUGAAGAAGUGGCCAAGUGUGUGUAGGCUCAACACAAGCUUAUCAUCAAUUUUUUGAAGUAGAUGAAAAAUUAUUCCAUGCAUUAAUUAAUUCCGUACGAUGAAAAUGGUGGACAAUCACUCAUAACUACAUCCAAACUAUAUUAGGUGAUUGUCACACUCAUAAAUUUGUUUGUAAAUACCAUUUUUUUAGGUGAUUGUCACAUCGUGGACUUGUGAGUGGGAGUUUUUGGCUAAAAUAAUAUACUUUUCAAAAAAUAAUCCCAAAAUAAUGUUCUUUCAGUUUUUAUUCCCUUAUUAAUCUAGUUAUUGUCAUGUAGACUCCCCGUCAAGGGAAAAAAAUAACUUAUAAAUCUUUUGUUUAUAUAUUACACAAUUUUUCUUUAUUUAGUGCCUUAAGGACAUUCUGUAAACAAAUUAAAAAAGGAAAGUGGAUCCAUAAUUAGUAUUUUAAAAUUGUUGAUCACCCUCCAAAUUGCAAUGAUUUUGUCGAAGAACUUUUUUUUUUUGCCAUUAUUCCUCCCUAGCUUUGUUCUUGAUUAUUAUAUCACAAGUUCCUUUCUUUUUUUUUUUCUUCUUACUUGCAAUUAUAUAUAUGGUAGUCUCCUAACUUUGUAAAUUUUAAGAAGUUUACAAAAACUCAAAUUGUUUGAAGUACGAGCAUAGUUAUUAAACCCGGCCCAGCCCGGCGGUUCAACCGGUCAAUCCAGUGAGCCGACCAUGAAACCGGACUGGGUUUGUAAUUGGAUCGUUAGUGCACCAAAUCCAUUGCAGCUCACUUGAUACUUAUUCACUCCUUCUAUAUUAUAUAUUAGAUUUUUAUUCUUAUUUUAUUUCUUCAAAACAAUAUUUGUUGGGAAUCUUUUAAAAAAUUUCUAUGAUUCUCUAAAUUCUAUAAAUUAUGAAAUGGAUUUAAAAAAUAACAUAUUACACAAUUCAUUUUAAAAACAAAUAUUAUUCUUAAUAACCUUUUAUGCUUAAAAUUCAAAAAUAAACUAGAUAAUUACACUUAGAUAAAAUUUUAUGCUUGAAGUUUGAUGGAUUACUAAUUAAAUUUAGGUUUUGUUAAUUCUUAUAAGAAUUAAUGAUUCUAUAAUAAAUUGGACUAACUGAGUAUUUACUAUAAUAUAGUUUAUUAUAGUUUUAACCAUAUCAAAAAUUAUAAAACAUAAUAUUUAAAUAUAUGCAGUGACCCACCGAUUGGACCACUCACCCACUGGUUGAACCAGUAACUCGUUGACCCACCUCUUUCACCGGUUUUCUCUCCGGGCCGGGUUUAAUAACUAUAAGUACGAGUAAACAAAUUCCACUAUAAGGGGAAAGAAAAUUUGAAAAAAAUUCUCUUGCAUUUUUUGACUUAUCAAAAGAGAAUACAUUCCAAAAAAAUAGGAGAGAGAAAAUAUAACUAGAUCAGUGUUAGCAUCAAAAUUAACACGCUAUAUGAGCCAAUCUAAUUUGAGAAAUACUAAUUAACUCAAUAAUAGAAAGAGAAAUAUUUUUAUUUAUCUUUAAAAUUGUACAUAAGUAGCAAAAUUUGAACUAUUGAAAGGUUACUAAAAAUCUAUUGAUGUGGAUCGUAUCUCUUAAUAUAAGAUGGAAAUGUGAAUACUUUCCAUACUUAAAGUCCACAUGGCAAUAAGUAGGUUAACAAGGGAAUAUAUUUUGAAAGUGCAUUAGUUUGGGAAUAGUUUUAAAGAAUGAGGUUAUUGUGGAAAUAAACUCUAUGAGUGGUUGCAUGUAUUUAUGACAAUCACCUAAAAUGGUUGCAUUUAAAUCUAUAGCUGUUGAAUGCAAUUAUGAGUGGUUUAAAUCUAUAGCAGUUAAAAUUUUUUUAAUGAAAUACCCUUCUCUCACAAGGCCCACAAUCGAGCCCCACAAUUGGACAGUCAAAAUAAACAUAUAAGGAGGGACAGUUAACAAGUGUCGAGUCUGUAUAAUAAUAAAUUUUUACUCAAAUAAUAUAUAGAUUUUGUAUACAGUAGUAAGUAGGGUUGAAUCCGUAGGAACUGGGGAAAUUCAUUUUCUCUUAAAUUCAAAGUUUGGGGGGAUUUUCAUAAGAAUGGAGGUAGCUAAACAGCUCAAGUAAAAAUAAAAAUAAAUAAAUAAAUAAAAACUGAGGACAGUUUAUUAUGAUUGAAUCAAUAAUAAAUAAACUCUAGCCAUGGAAUAACUUGGAAAAUGGUUCACUCAAUUGAUCAUUCAUGCAAUGAUAAUUUCGAUUAUUAAUUGAUAAACAAGUUAUAACCGCAAACAAACGAUAAUAAUCAAUUUCUCCUUACUGUAUCGGUGAUUAAGAUAUGACUAUUAAUCGCUACUCUAAUCGAGAAAUAAUCUUAAGUACGAUCGUAGAAUUCAAUUUCCUAAUUGCUUUAUGAACUAGAUAAGCCCUGUUUUAAUAAAAAAACACACUACGAGAGUUAUUUCAAAUUAACUCAUAUACUCCCAUGAUACAAACCCAAUCAUGUCAAUUAUCACUAUUUUAAAGCAAUUAAAUAAUUACAGAUUUAAUACUUUAAUUGGCUAUAGGCUUCUUGUCAUUGGAUUAUGUUUACAGUUGAAUGCUUGGCUUUUUUGGCUUAUGUUUCCUGCACAAUUGCGUGGUUGAUCUAAGGUACGGAAAAAUUAAUCGGUAAACAGGUACUAUUCAAUGUUUACAUGUUAAUAAAGAAUGAGAGGAAUAUCAAAGACUACUGUUUAAAAGAGGUGGCAAACCUGAAGAAUGGUUAGUUGAAUUAGAAUCCCUACACCAUGUAUGCUUAGGUAUUCUCUUUGAGGAGGAAGGAACCUGAUUAAAGACAAGAAGACACGUUGAAAAUUUGAAUGGUGCAUAUAACAUAUAAUAUAUGCUAAAAGAAUAAUGGCUUGAAAUAGUAACAAGCCACACCUUUUUCACGAGUUGAGAAAAUAGUAAACUGGCCAUUCUUUUUUGUUUUUUCAUUAUUAUGAGAAGGAGAAGCAGGCGAUGCUGAUUUAAAUGUGAAAUCAGUGCUGGUUUAGACUUCAAUGUUAGUUAAGAUUUCUAGUUGUUUGGAUUGUCAUUUUUCUUCCAAAAAAAUGUUAAACAUAUUUUUCAAUCAUAUUUUUAUCUCAUAUAUCAAAUUAUUUCGUAUAAUUUUUUAUAAAAACUUUAGAAAAUAACAAUCCAAACGUAAAGCAGGCCUUAUUGGAUUGCCAUGGACAUUAGACUAUGUGUGCGCACAUUUAAGAGAGCGUGUAUUUGGUUUCUGAGUUUGUGUUUGCUGCAUCUUAUACACUCAUGGCUCAGAAGCCAAACCAAACAUAAAACUAACAAGAUUAAUAACGAAUAUGUGAAGAAAAAAUUCUACUAGAAUUUGUAGAAUAAAUGAAAUGAAUUUACAAAUAGCUAGACCUUGUAUAGUUUGGUCACUGGAGUCCAGAGUAACCAAUUAACCAGAAGCAGUAGAAGUUGCAGCUUCUUGAAGCUGCGAUGCAAGGGCGUCAACCUCAGAUUUGUGCUUUUUUUUUCCUUCGUCUUUUUUCGCUUGGGGCUCUUGUUCUUCUUCAACCUCUUGAUGAUCAUGAUUAAGAGGCAGAGAGUCUGAAAGAACCAUUUUUUGAGCUUGUUUUGAGUUGUUGGGGAGCAGGAAGGCUCAAUAAUUUAUUUAUUCUUCUUCUUUGGUAUGCCUCCCUUUGGCAUGCUUACUCCUAGAGGUAAACUAGGGAUGCUUACUCUCCAUUGUAUAAUUUUGAGCUUUGAAAUUCCUUCAAUUGAUGGGGAUUUCAAAUCCAAAUUCAGUCAAAUCCCUCUCAAACAGAUCCUCUGAAGAUCUUUCCUAUCCCGCUCAUCAUUUUGUUACGGUUUUUUCGCAGGUCAAAUGAUUGUAGAAAUAUGGUCAUACAACAAUGAAAUGGAAUACCCUCGAUCCUUUUUUCUUAAUGCUCUUGAGUUCCAUACUUCCUGUUAGUUUCUUUCACAUUGAACUUAAUCAGUAGGGGCAAUAAUCAAGUAAUUAUAAAGUUUUAGAUUUGACUCUCAAAUUCUUCCUCUAUGCUUUUUUUUCUUAAUUAGAGUCUCACUUGAAAAAUUGAAGUACAAAAAUUUCUGUUUUUUAUUCUUUUAUUUAUUUAUGUUUGUGGAGCUUUAACUUCCCAUACAUAUACAAAUCUCUAGUGCCUGAAAUUGCUGCUAUUUCACGCACAAAUUUAUUUUUUAUAAAGGAAGUGUUCAUUUAUAUGGCAAUAGGCCCUAAAACUAGUCUCUCAAAAAAGAUCUUUUGGUAUAUAACUAUAGUCCCAUGGGCUGCUGAAUAACUUUGAAUUAACCAUUUUGAACUCAUGAUUUCUAUUUAAAAAGUUAUUGAGCCAGUCCAGUGGAUCUAAGGUGUCAUAAAUGGCAUCAAAACAAACCUAGUGCGGUUUUUGCUUGGGAUGAGUUUGGGACCAAUGAUGUUAUAGUUCUAGCUUCAAAAGUGAGUUAAGGAGCUGAGUGUUGUGUGGGACUAAAUGCCACGCUCAACAGGGGUAAUUGCUAAAACUCGUGAGACUAGGUGCCAUGUUGAACGGAGACCACUACUAGAAUUUGUACAAGUUACCUCUAGAAUUCAAGCACAACUAAGUGGGCACUUUGGAUUGUGAUCAAAUUUUAUGAGGAUGCAAAGUUCCUAAGAUGGGUAAAUGAGAUGUCUCGACAUGGGAGAAGAAAACAAUUGGUAUACAACUCUAGACCUAUGGAUUACUGAAUUACUUUAACUCAACCAUUUUGAUCUUGUGGUUUGAAUUCAAAAAGUUAUUAGGUCAGUUUAGUAGAUCUAAGAUAUUACAAAUGGUAUCAGAGUAAAUUUUACAUGGUCUUUGCAUGGAAUAAGCCUAGAACUAGUGAUAUUGAGACUAAGUGCCAUAUUGGACGAGGAUCAUGUCUAGAAUCUUGAGAAGUAAGUAUUAUAUUGGACGGAAACCACCUUUAAAGUCCACACAAGUAACCUUGAGAGUUCACAUGAGAUUAAAUUUAAGUGGAUAAUUUGAAUUAUGACCGAACCUUGUGAGGACACAAAGUUCCAAAAGUGGAGCGGAGUGAAAUAUUCCACAUUGGAAGUGGGAGAAAGAAAUAAUUGGCAUAUAACUCUAGGCCCAUAGGCUACUGAAUAAUUUGGAUUGAUCAUUUUAUCUCAUAAUUUCAGCUCAAAAUGUUAUUAGCCAGUCUAGUGGACCCGAGGCCUCAUACAGGAACAGUUUCAUAUUCAAUCGCUUGCCAAAAUCCUAUCUUAGCAAUUACCGAUACACACCUGAUCAAUCAGUGAUUUUUUGGCAUCAAGCUCUGUACAAAUGCGCACCAUUGAAACUGUAGCUGCAUCAAGCUUUAAAGUCUCUCCAAAAAACUUACCAAUUGAGUAUAAAGUGACUUUGUUAAAACGAUGAAUAGGCAGACGAUCGAGUUUUAUCCAAACCGAAACUAUAGAGGAUUUUAUGUCAACAUUGAAAUUCGGACUCCACUUAAAAUCUCUCAUAGAAAACCCUUAUCGGGUACAGUACUCCUCUGAUUCAAGCAGAAUUGAGAGAUGCCAGGGUCUGAGAGGCCUAGCGAAAAGAAACCUCUAAAACCCGUGGCAAGAAAGUCUUUCCAAAACUGUCCCACACUCGGCCUCCCUCGAGAGAAUUUACGAACUAUAGAGAAUUUAGAAGGAACAACAAAAGCUUGAAUGUCUUCUCCUAAGAAAUAAUACCGCAGGUUUCCCACGGUGCACAUCUGCUUUCUUGAUUUGGAGUGAAGAGAGUUGUUGAGAAGAAAGAACAUCAGCAAAUGAACAUUUGGAAGGAAAUGAUGAGAAAGUUGCUUGCCAAUCCCAAAAUGGAAGGCAUCCAUGAAAUGUCCUCUUGGGUAGAUGAUUGGGAUUCAGGGCCUCACAAGUUCCAUUUUAUUUUAUUUUAUUUUCGGGAAAAUUGACAAUUUUGUUGGCAUAUUAAAUCAAGACUCAAAAUUAGAAAUUUUCAUGUUAUUAUUUAGUAGUGUUUUAGUCAAGUUAGAGUUUUAGCAAUUUUGCUGGAGUCAAGUUAUGGUGGUUUCAUUUUGUAGGAAAUAAGUAUCUUAUUAGAAAAUUUCUUAUGGUUGUAACAUUUGUUUUCCAAGUCAUCUAAGUUUAUAAAUAUAGAGUUAUAUUAUUGUAUUAGCUAAGAAGAGUAAAAGUUGAGAGUCUUAUUAUUAUGGCAUGCAAUUAAUGAUAUAUUGUUGAAUUUUGUUCCUCUUCUCCCACACAUAUUUGUAUGUGUGUAAAUUGCCUUCUCAUAUGCAUUGAUUUUUUGAAAUUUAUCUCCUACAGAUUUUUGGUGAAUUUUUUGAGUUCUACAAAUUUUAAAUUUUGUUACUCCUUUUUCUAACUUUGUUAUAUCACAUUUAAAUUUUUGUGAUAUUGUUUCUCAACUCAAUUACGUCAAAGUGUAAACUUGUAGAAAAUGAAACUUGUGAAGCCCCAUGAUUGAGGAUAUGCUGAUGUGAUCUCUUCUAUCACCUUCAUCAAAUUAUUCCAUUUUCUAUGCUGCUUGUAAGUGAUGCAUCUUAUUUGUAAAUCUACAGCAUCUCGGCUUUUGUUUGUAACACCUUCUAAGUUGCAGGAGGAAGAAUGAUUGGAAACCAAACAUGGCAAAUAUGCCCAAUCCCCUUUUCACUAAUGGGCUAAUUAGUUACCAUGGGAUACAACCUUAAUCAGACUCAAGAUUUCACUGCAGUUUUUUGGAGCCCUUAAUUAUGGUAAACCUUAGCCAGGAGGAUAACUUAUUCUAUACCUGGUCAAUAAUUCAUUCUAAUCUGUUUUUGAAAAACGAAUUACCCUAUAAUGUCAGAUUUCACCAGAAAAAGAAUUGCUAUUCGAUCGUCACAAUUUUCAAGAAAUUCAGGAAAUAUAUUACACUGCAAUAUAUGAUCAGGCGAGGAGAAAAUUUUCCUUACCUGGAUACGUUACAGGUAAGGUCUGAGUUUUGCAGAAAUUUUAAAAGGAUUUCAUUCUUUCCACUAUAGAAUCUACCCUCAAUGUGAAUUCUUGAAAUCAAUGUUCAACGUUGAUUGUCAAACCACAAAAAAUUUCUUGAAUGAAAACUCUUGGUUUUCUUCCCAAAGUAAUUAUGCUCCAAGGGUCAACAAACGCAAUCCCUUUCAAAUUGACUUGCCAUUCCAAAUCAAUUUUUAACUUGUGAUUAGAUUCAUACACAAAAUAUAGAAAAUAUUGGACCAAAAAAAUUGAGUUGAUUGAGAACUAAAAAAGAGUAUAUUAUAAAUUUCUCCAACUAUAGAUUUCUUUAUAAUUUUGAAAAAACAACUUUACCUUCUUUUUCUUAACCUCUUUUGACAAACUAUUACUAAAACUUAUUUCAAAAAUACUAUCCAAAUCAUUCCUUUUGAGACAGGAUUCCAUUUCUGCUACUCAUUCAGUUAUUUCUUCAUACUCCUAUCGUUUCUGGAAAAAAAAAUUCAGUUAUUUCUUCAUAGUUUUAAGAGUGUACAAAAUUUUAAAUAUUUUACCAGUAACAAAUUCCUUGUUUAUCAGGGCAAAUUGAAAAAUAAUUUACGCACCUUCACAAAUAAUUUUUUCAUUCCCUAUUUGAAUUUCUCGGCCUUCUUGGCUUAUGGCUCAAUUAUUGACGGAAUCUUUUUCUCUGAUCAUUGUCUAACACAAAUAAUCUGACAGGAUUUUUCAUACCCCUGUCCAACUAAGAUCAAUUUUUCUUUAAUUGUCAACAACUGAUUGAGGAUCCCAAGACUAACCUUUUCUUUAGUGGUCCAAUUCUCCGAUACGUGAGUAUUCUAUCACAAAAUGGAUUGGAAUGAAUUUGUUAGCAUAAAAAAUAUGUAUCAAAAGACAUUGUAAUUUUUCAAAGAAAAACAAGAAUGAUUAAGAUAGAGGGGAUAGAUUUGCCCAAACAUAGUCGCUUGGGGGGAGUGCCUAUAGAAACAGUUUAGGGGUAAACUAUAACUAGAUAUAUAGUUUACGGUGGUUUAUUUUUUUUGCAUUUAAUCCAUUUUAUUAGACAAAAUACACGACAUCUGCAAGGAAUUCCAAACUGUAAGGAGUUUUAACUCAAAAUCCAUUACCAUGAAAUGUCCAAACAGCAAUGGAUUUCCUGCUGAAAACCCAUUUACCAUAAUUUAUUCAAUAGCAGGAGAUAACAUAUUUUACACUAGAACCACGCUUCCAUUUAUUUAUGUUACGGCAAGAACAAUUUGCUAAUUGUUCCCUCAGAUGCUGGCAGCAUUUUAGCUUGGAGCUUUAGCAUGAUUCAGCAGCUACCACGACACAAAUCCCCAGGCCAUGUACAGACACGGUCAGCCGGGACAACAGCCCUCUUGAUUACCCUCGCAGGAUUCUAAGAUCCCUGUGACGGUAACUUUUCCAGCCCCAAGCAUUUUUAUAAGCUGUCCUCCAAUUGGCAGCAUUUUUCUUGAUGCAAUUUUGACAGCAUUGGUAGUUUCUGUAGCUUCAACUUUCCCCAACACCACACCGGCAGAAGAAAUUUUAAUAAAACUCUUAGCGGUAAAUUAGGUAUUAAUGGACCAACUGAGUUCUACUAGUAAUUAAUACUCUAAUUGAAAAAGUGGUAAACCAUACGAGGGUAAAGUGUAUUAACAUGUCUCUUAACAAAUAAAAAGUAACUAGAAGCUAACUUCCACUAUUGAUCAUUCUUGUGAAGAAAAAAACUUGACAUUUGUUACCAAGUUUUUCUCUAAAUCUUUUUGUAUUUUAGAGGUGAUUUGCCGUAAUCCUAUAACAAAUACUUUGUGUAUUACGGGCAAAUAACAUGUUAAGGAUAGUGUUAAACACACCUUAAAAUCAUCAUUUGCAUCUCUCACUUUCCUAGUGAAAAUUAUGUACUAUAAAUUUCUACACUAUAUAUAGACACAAACACAUAUAUCCCUUUCGUUCCAUUAAAAUUAUCAUAUUUUUCUUUUUGAGUUAUCCCAAAAUAUAUAUCACGUGCCUAAAAUAACAAAUGAAUAUUUCUUCUUAUUCUAAUUUUACCCUUCAAGCACUACCUUUUUUAAAUACGUGGGUUCAAUACAAGUUUUCUCAACAAUGAGAUAUAGAGAGUUGUCACGCACUAUCUUUGAAGUGCGUGACUGGCACUGGUAAUUGUUUGCUAGCGCAUGCAGUACACAGUAAGCAAAGAGUUGGUGUGGCUUUAAUUAAAUGGUGGGCCUUGAUUGUUGACUUGUUUGCAGAGGCAACUUAACACACAACUUUAGGUAAAAUUUAGGCAACUCAGCAGGAACAAUUUAGAACCACCAGCCCAAACCAGCCUUUGGGCUGGUGGCCACCACCUAGUUGAUGGGGUGGGAGACAAGGGUUUAUUUAAGUGGCUUGUUUCUAAAAAAUUUAGGUAGAUCUGCUGUGCACCCGUCUGGUCCGGUAAUGGUUCAGUCCCCUUCGAGUUACCCCUGAGUCUCCUUAGAUCCGCCUCCUCCCCCUUAGUGUAGGAUAGAUUAGGUUUAUCGUUUCCGAAAAAAAAUAAGAACAAUUUAGGAAGUACAAAUGGCCAUCUCUUCUUUCUGUCUACCAUUCAAAGAAACUUCAGCUCUCAAAAAGUGACAAACUUUUUCCGGACCGAGGUAGUAUAUAUUUGUCUGUAAUGGUUGAUAGUGAAACUUUCUUUGUAAGUUAUAAUUGGUACAAAAUUUUAUAGUUUCGUUAUGGUAUGGUUAUAUUGAAUUAACUGUAAGUUACCUUAAUGGUGUGUAAAAUUUUUCGUAAUUGUAAUCUUCUUCUACUUGUUGUAAUUUUCAUGAAAAUAAGAAAGUGGUCGUGUAUUAAGUGUGUUGUAUUAUAAGUUCUCUUGUAAUUUUGAAAUGAAUGUGUGAGUUGAAAUCUUGACUGUACUAAUUGCAUCUUCUACUGUAUCUUAAAGUUCACGUGUGUUCAAGCUUUUGGAUAAUUAAGAUCAUUAACUAUUAUCAUCAGAUUAGCACAAUGUAAGGUUAAAAACAGAUUGUAUGAAAACUUCUUAAUGCCAUUAACCCGCAAACUUUGCUUCAAUACGUAAUGAUUUGUAAUUAGGGUAAAGAAAUUCAGGAAGCCACUAGGCUGUUUUCUUUAUAAAGUUUUGGACGUUUUGCUCAAUUGACUAUUAAAAGCUUCAUUUUUUUUUGUAAGUGAGAGAGCUCAAAUUCAGGAUGUCUCGCUUACAUUUCCUCCCCCUCUUCCGAACCACCCAACCUAUCUCUUCCUCCAAAAGUUUCAAAUAACUCACUAAAAUUCUAACUGUGGAAAAUAAUGGCCAAUCAGUAAUGUUUCUUAAUUCCAUAAAGUUUAUGUGCAUUUGUAUCCAUACCUACUAGUAUUUUAUAGAAGAAAAAAUUUUAAAACACCAAAUAACUUUAUCAUGUUUUUUAUUUUAUGUUUCCUAAUCAACACCUACUUUUACUCUAUACACACCUGCUGGCGAAAUUUUUUUCAAAAAAAGUCUGAAUAUUUAGAAUGCAAAUCAAGAAAUUUGAUCCCUUGACCUACAUCCAAAUAGAGUUUUAAAACUCUCUUAGUGACCAACUACCUGAAUUCACUGUUAUAUAUGGUGAUUGGUGGAUUUAUUUCCUUUGAUAUGUUUAUUGAUCAUAUGGGCAAUGGUGUCCCCAUACUCAACCCAAUAAAAAAAACUUACUGAGUAGAAAAAUAUUUACCGGCCAAAUUGUAUAGAAUGGCUGAUUUAGACAAAAUAAGUAGUUGAGUGAAUCAUUCGAAAGUCCAAUGGAUUGAGUGGCCAAGAGUUUACCAUCGUAAUAGUUUGGUGACCAGCACACCUGAAGAGCAGGAGCAAACACCAAGUAGCCCAACAUAGGGCAACUGAACAAGCAUCAAAAGCAGUAAAUUAGCAAAUACCUAUUAGUAGACCAUAAUCAAAAUUGCCUAAUAUUGAUUAUAUGUUUAUAGUCACAUAACACUAGACUAGAAGUCCAAAACAUACAAUAACCUAUUCAAAGCAGGAUAUAAAACUAUAGUAACUCCACAAGGAGUUCUACUGAUACCAGACAAAUAAAAUAGUAUCUACAAAAAGUCAUUCCUGACAAAAUCUCUCCCCAAUGACAUAAUGCUUGAAAUUGUAAGCAAGCUACAGCUCACAUCCAACCUACAUAUACGUGUUUUGGGAAGAAAGAAAAGACUAGGCAGAGAGUUCAACUUAACUUCUUUGGUCAUACAAUCAGAGCUGCACUUCUCUGUCAUAUAUCCAGCUAAAGGGUAUGCAGGGUCCUUGUUUGGCUCUCGCUUGAGCUCUCUCCUCUAGCUUUCUGAUUCUAGCAAGCAACCACAGACAUAAUCUUGAGCUUUGCGACCCUCAGCAGAUAGUCCAGUCAGAUCUCCCACUUUCCAUCUGCCAACCAAAAACUCCAGUAUAUCUGCAUAGUCCUUGGCUGUGUAAACACCAAGGCGUUGUGCAACAGUUGAGAAGUGCUCAAAAAGGUCAUCAUCGCAUCCAUCAUACAUCAAAUGAGCUGGCAUAGAAAUUUUUUUCCUCAUCAUGUCAGCAAAUGCUAGCACAGUCCCAUUAGGGUCAAUCUCAUAUAGCUUCUCAACAAUCUUGGUGUAGGCAGUUUCAUGACGCUUUUCAUCCUCGGCAAUUGUACCACAGAUCUGAGCCAACUUGAUGUCCCCAUGUUCCUUGGCUAGUCGGGCUGUGUUCCUAUGGGAAAUAAAAGUUGCCCUCGAUCCUUAUUUCUUAAUGCUCUUGAGUUCCAUACCUCCUUUUAGUUUCUUGAACAUUGGAAUGAAUCAAUGGGGUCAUCAAUCAAGUAAUUGUAAAGCUUUAAUUUGACUCUGGAGCUCUUCCUUUAUGCUUUUUUUUUCUUGAUUAGACUUAGAGUCUCACUUGAGGAAUUGAAAUAUGAAGAAGUGCUGAGCUUCCUCGGACCGAGCUGACCUGAUGAGCUGAGCGUGUCCCAAGCCUGCAAAGCAAACAAGAGAGUGGCCUAAUAGGGGAGUCCCAAGGUUGUUCCCGAGGGCACUCCGUCGGUCAAGUUAGUUUUCCGGUGAGUGAAGUUCACGGGAAGUAAAGCAGUCGGGCGUAAUUGGCCAAUAGUGAGCGUACCUUGCGUAGUUGGUGUGCGUUACCAUUUAUACCUGCUCGAGAGUCCGACCUCCGUACGUUUCAGAACUUACCUGGCAUAGCCUCAAUCUCGCGUUGAGGGGGAUUCUCCCCGCCCUCUGCGGGACGGUUUCCAGGGGCCUUUCGGAGCCCUAGUGGCGGUGUGCCCCAGAACGGUUGUCAGGGUCUGCGGUCCAAGCCCAGCUCUGCCCUUCCUGGGCUGCCACGUGUCCAGGCCCAGGACAGGGCCUCUGCACUAGCCCCCUAGAUUAGGUAGGCUUCCAAGUAGACCUAAUCUAUACCCUUGCCACGUGGGAGCCCCAGCGUCGCACUGCUCUGCCAUGGUCACCUCCGGUACAGUGCUGUUACUGAAAAGCUACGCCCAUGUUCUUUCAGUUGUCGCGUCCCUUCGGUCUCCGUACCGCUCUUAAAUGCGUUCACAUGGGACAGUUCAAAUUCAAACAACUGUUUCCCCCCAUUUCACCCCCUAUAAAUAGGGGUUACCAGAUUUCAUCCGACUCUAUUUGCCAUUUUCCUCUCCUCGUGCAUUUUCAAUUUCCAGCAACAAGACUUUCGGCUCUCAGUGCCUAGAUUUCGGCGAUUUCUCCAUCUUUUCUUACUCCAUUUAUCAGUAAGUCAUUUUCCCUCUUCCUUCGCACUUUUUCCUUUCCUUCGUCACUUUCUGCUUUUUAUGUCGGAUCGGUCCGGCGUUACCUCCACCGCCUCUCAGAUUUCAGCCCAUCGUAGAGCCCUUAGCAUCCUUAUUUCUUCCUCAUCUUCAUCCUCAUCUUCAUCUUCAUCUCCCCCUCCUCCUCUUUCUUCCUCUUCUGCUUCCAAUCCCAGUUUCCAUAUCCUUGACUUGCUCGAGCCCAUAGUCAUCAUGAGUUCUCCAUUUGUCCAUUCUCCUUCUGCCCGAAUCUUAGAGGACGUGGUCGAGCUCGAUGCCCUCAUCGAGCAGCAAGCCACUUCUGUUCCCUCCCCCAAGUCUCCACGUGACUCUCCCGGCGGAGCCCAGGGGGGAGCUGGGGAGGACAGGGACUCCUCCGAGGGAACCCCUGCUUCCGAGCAGGGGGAUGAUCCUGGAUUCGACUUCGGUUAUCCCGACCAGCAAGAGGUCACCCUCUCACCCGAGGUAGUGGUCGAGCUGGCCGGGUCUUUCUUCAUUCCUCCGGCCUUCGAGCCGCGGGCUGCCUGGCCCAAUGACCUAGCCAGCCGACCUCCCCCUGGCUUUGUAGCCAUCUACAGAGAGCAACUGCUCGCGGGGCUCCGACUCUCAAUUCCUCCAACCCUGGCUGAGAUCCUGAGCUACUGGGGGCUCAGAAUCACCCAAGUCCAUUCCAAUUCGAUCAGGAUCAUCAUUGGGCUCCUACACCCUCAAGUUCUCCCUUCCUGGGUGGUACUAUUUCUCCCGCCGAGGUACUAGCAAAGUUCGGGGGGGAAAGGGCACCCAAGAUCUGCUUUUCGGGGUCCCUUCUUCCGUAAAAAACUGGAAGGGGGACUUUUUCUUUGUCAAAUCCACGAGCUUUCUGCCUAAUGUAUGGAAGGUCGGGGAGGUCGACUCCGAUCCCUUCCGGAGGACUUGGAUUCCGAAUCCCUCAACCAGCUGGUGAGCUCCAAGGUGAAGUUCUACGCGGCCAGGUUUUCCACUGAGCAGAUAUCUGUGGCCGGGCUGAUGGGGACGUUGUCCGGGUCCCCUGGAGAAGUGAAGCCCUCCCACACCGACUACGACACUUGUAAUGCCGCCCCUAGGCUCCUGCAGUCUAUUGCUUCAUUCUGUCUUUUAUUGACCUGCAUUUACUAACUUGGUAGUGUUUGCUAUAUUAAAGAGGCUCUCCAAACUGUUGGGCACGCCCUCCGAGCAGGUCGCCCCCACCCCGCAACCGGAGGCAGUCAAGACGGCCUCCGCAGCAUCUCCGACCCCAGGGGGCAGCUCAGCCCCUCCAAAAGAAACGCCCCACUCUUCAUCCCCCUCCAAACAGGUCGCCAGUAAAAAGAAAGCGACCGGACAAAAGAGGGGUCGAGGGGACGAGCCCUCCCAACCCGGGAAGAAGCUCACGCCAGCUCCAGCACAACCCCCUCCUCUGCUAACGUCCAGGGGCGUCCCCCACGAGGGUCCAGUCCACCUAGGGGUUGGCUUCGCGGAGGAGCACGCAUGGGAGCUGCCUCCCCCCAGCCUAUGGCACAUCCGCCAAGUGGCUCCAGUGAAGCCGGGCCAGGCCCCCACUAUACACGACCCCCGUCGUUUCUGCCCAUCCUGGGGGCUCUCUAUCAACGAUCGAACCCAAUUCCUGGAGGUGGCUCGCGAGCUGAUUGCGGGCUUGGUCCUCCCGCGAGAUAGGAAGUGGAUGGAGCUGGCCACCCCGUCCGAGCUCCAGGACAUGUACUAUACUGCCCAGACUCAAGUAGGUCUCCUUUCAUUUAGGUCGCUUGCAUCUCCAUUCCUUCCUUACAUGGAGUCAGUAGCACGGUAAUUUUUCUUUCCAUUGCUCAGGCCGAUGCGGCUGGAAUUGCCCUGGUGACCCGCUUCUCUGAACUGUCUCCCGACUUGGAGAAAUUGAAAAAGAAAAAUCGGGAGACAGAGCAGAGGCUUGCCCAGACCCUUAAGGAGGCGGACUCCUUAAAGGCCCGGGUGGGCGAGGCAUACAAAGGGCUGGAAGGGCCCAAGUCCAGCUUGCCUCCACCCGGUCGGAGCUGGAUCAGGUGAAGGGUCUCAACCUGCCUGGCUUCAAUUUGGCUGACUUCAAGGACUACAAUCCCCCGGCCGAGGAGAAGCUGGACUGGCUUUUCGACGGGUAUUGCAAGGGGCAUGUCCUGAAAGACCUGGUAGGCAGAAGUGAUGUGGGAGCCGACCUGACGGAGGUUCCCUUGGUGGAGGACGGGGCUCCGAGCAGAGCUUCCGGGAAGGAGCCGGUGGCCUAGGCGACUUAAGGGUCUCUCGGGAGUUGAGUUGUACAUCUUUUCUCUUUUUUCUUUUUAUCUAGCUCGGUAGGCUUUGUAAUAGGUAGGUUUCGAAUGUACAUACAAAAUUCGAACGAGAUUACCUAAUUUCUGGCUUCCAAGUUUCGCAUGAAAUCCGAACCCUAACAGUCGAAAUGGCAUGCCGACCGCCUGGGUUCAAACCGAUUUACUAAAGCAGCCAUGCCGACCGCCUGGGUCGAGCACCUGUCAAACUAUAAGUCAACAAUUGAAUCAAACUAAACUAACAAUCGAAUUCCGGCAACCUAAGCGGCGUGCCAACCUCCUGGGCCGAACAUCAAUCCUUAAGGUUUUUAAGUCUUGCCGACCUCCUGGGUCGAGCACCAAAUAGAUCUAUCAAGGUCGCACGCCGACCUCCUGAGCCGAGCAUCUAUCAAGCUUUAAGCAAAGCGACGUGCCGACCUCUGGGGCCGAACACCAGACUUUCAAGUUUUGAGCCGUGCCGAUCUCCUAGGCCGAGCAUCUAUCAAACUUUAAGCAAAGCGACAUGCCGACCUCUGGAGCCGAACACCAGACUUUCAAGUUUUGAUCCGUGCCGACCUCCUGGGUCGAACGUCGAACUCCCGGAUUUUAUCAAACUGCAUCAAAAUAGUUUAUGACGUGUCGGCCUCUGGGGCCGAACACCAGACUUUAAAGCUUUAAGCCAUGCCAACCUCCUGGGUCGAGCAUCCACUCUCAAACUUUAAAAGCAUUCCAUCCAUUACCAUUACCAUCCAUCACCCAGCCCCCCACUAGGACACUUAGCACUGUCUGAGUGUGCUAGUGUAGGACCUAAACUUAAAAGUUAAACGGUGUUGGUAAAAGGAAGGUUAAAAGUCUGACAUUUAUUCAAUGAUGAACUUGUACACGAAUUCUGAAGAAUAGACAGUAAGAUACCCUGGCCCAAUCUAACCCACGAACAAUCGCAAGUUCGAGAAGUGCCAAGUGCGAGGUAUUUCCACUCCAUCUAAUUUCGCAAGGUUGCAGUAGCUAGCUCGGCUCGUUUCCAGGACUUUGUACGGUCCCUCCCAGUUCGGAUCAAGUUUGUUGGAACUAUGGGACCGACUAAUUGAAUUCUUUCUUAGGACGAGGUCUCCCGGCCGGUACUGCAUCUCCCUCACCUUUGCGUUAUGAUAGCGGGCGAGCUGACCUUUGUACUUAACCAUCCGUAUCGCCGCUUCUUCGCGUUUGGCUUCCAGCAUGUCCAAGUUACACCGCAGUUCUUCCUCGUUGGCCGUCGCAACGAAGUUCUGCGUCCGAAGCGAGGGGAGGCCGAUCUCUGCGGGUAUCACCGCUUCUGCCCCAUAAGUCAGGGAGAAUGGGGUCUCGUGAGUGGCCGUCUUUGGCGUAGUGCGGUAAGCCCAGAGGAUACUAGAGAGUUCAUCUAGCCAGUUGGACUGGGCCAGUUCCAACCUAGUCUUUAGUCCUUGCAGAAUGGUUCGGUUAACGUUUUUCACCUGGCCAUUGGCCUGGGGGUGGCUGACCGAUGUGAAAUGUUGGUUAAUCCCCAACUCGGCGCACCAGCUCCUGAAGGGGUUUUCAGCGAACUAUCGUCCAUUGUCGAAUAUCAGAACACGCGAAAUCCGAAGCGGCAAACUAUGCUCUUCCAAAAGAAUUUCUAAACUGUUUUCCCCGAGAUAGUAGCCAGAGGCUCCGCUUCCAUCCACUUGGUGAAGUAAUCAAUGGCCACCACGAGAUACUCGUAUCUCCCAGGGACUCGAGGAAAAGGCCCCAGAAGGUCUAUUUCUCACUAGGCAAAGGGCCAAGGACUAUGGAUGGGGAUCAUCUCCCGAGGUGGCUGGUGGCGCAGCGGGGCGUGCACCUGGCAAGUUUGACAUUUUUGAGCUAGUGCCGCGGCGUUCCGAAACACUGAAGGCCAAUAGUAGCCUAGGAGCAGACACUUCUUGGCCAACACCCGGGACCCCACAUGUGCUGCGCAUAAGCCUUCGUGAACUUCACGGAGGACGUAGUCGCCCUCUUCAGGAGUCACGCACUUUAGCAGGGGUACAAAUACGACCUCCUAUAGAGGGUCCUCCCACCGUAGGCGUACUUAGCAGCUCUGAGUUGGAGUCGGCGAAUCUUGAUUUUGUUCUCAGGGAGGGCACCCGAGCUGAGAAAGUCCGCGAGGGGAGUCAUCCAGAGGCCGGGCUGUCUAUAGCCAAGACCUGGACCCGGUCAACGCUUUUAUGCUUGACUACCUCCACCAACACUCCCUUGCUCAGGUGAGCGAACGAGGAGGACGCCAGUUUUGACAGGGCGUUCGCACGCUUGUUCUGUGACCUCGGUAUCCGCUCGAUUUCAAAAGUUUCGAACAGGGCUAUCGCCUCCCGUACCUUAGCAAAGUACUUCUUCAUGACGUCCUCCUUGGCCUCGUACUCCCCGCGGACUUGGUGGACUACGAGUUACGAGUCGCUCUCGACUUUGAUCGCGGUUAUACCCAUCUGGUGGGCUAUCCGUAGUCCCGUCAAUAGGGUCUCAUACUCGGUCUCAUUGUUGGAUGCCGGGAAGUCAAAUCUGAGCGUGUAGGUCAGCUCUUCCCUGGUGGGCGAGGCGAGCAGCAGGCCGGCUCCGCUUCACUCCUUACUCGAGACCCCGUCCACGAAUAAUUCCCACGGCUCUUCCGGUCGUACGUCCUUGGGCAAAGAGAUCGGCUCAGCCAUGGACAAACUCGCCCCCUCAGUAAGGAAGUCUGCCAAAACCUGAGCUUUGAUAGUAGUACGAGGCUGGUAGCCGAUGUCGUGCUCGGCCAGCUCGACGGCCCACUUGGUCAUCCUGUCCGAGACCUCACGUUUUGUGAGUAUCUGUCGUAAGGGCUGAUCAGUCAUGACUACAAUGCUGUGGGUCUGGAAGUAAGGUCGGAACUUCCGGGCGGCGUGUACCAGGGCAAGAACCAAUUUUUCCGUCGGCGUGUACCGCGUCUCCGGCCCCUGUAAAGCCCGGCUAACAUAGUAUAUGGACCUCUGAGCCCCCCUGUCCUCCCGCACCAAAAUCGAGCUAACGGUCUCGUUGCAAGCAGAUAAGUAUAGGAACAGGGUAUCUCCCUGUUCCGGGGCGGUCAGAGCAGGCAGUUCAGCCAGGUGUGCUUUUAGGAUCCGAAAGAAGGGUAACCCCCUCACCGCGGAGCGCGAGAGGAAUCUAUUCAGGGCGGUCAUCUUUCCCGUAAGCCGUUGGACCUCCUUGACGUUUCUCGGAAGGGCUAUAUCCACGAUGGUCCGGAACUUAUCCGGGUUGACCCGAAUCCCCUCUCGGGAGAUCGGGAAGUCCAGGAACUUUCCCGACCUAACCCCGAAAGUACAUUUCUUCGGGUUCAACCGAAUCCGGCUCUCCCAUAGAAUGUUCAGGAUUUCACUCAGGUCGGGAACGAGCUGCUGGUCGGUUCAGCUCUUGACGAUCAUGUCGUCCACGUAGACCUCCAUACUCCUGCCGAUCUGAACCUGGAAGAGUUUGUUGACCAAGCGCUGGUAGGUAGCUCCAGCGUUUUUCAAUCCAAACGGCAUUGUCCGGUAACAGUAUGUCCCUUCCUCAGUGAUGAAGGAAGUCUUUUCCCGAUCUUUCUCGGCCAUUUCUAUCUGGUGGUAUCACUUGAAAGCAUCCAAGAAGUACAAAACGUCAAAACCCACAGUAGAGUCUACUAACCUGUCGAUCCUUAGCAAGGGGAAGCAAUCCUUUAGGCAGGCCUUGUUAAGAUCUAUGAAGUCCACGCACAUCCUCUAGGACUGGUCCUCCUUCUUCACCAGGAUCGGGUUGGCUAGUCAGGUCGGGUAGUAUACCUUCAGGAUAAUCCUGGAUUCCAACAGCUUGCCGACCUCCUUCUUGAUCACCUCAUUCCUUUCUGGGGUGAAACUUCUCUUCUUCUGAUUCACUAGCUUGAAGCAGGGAUCUACGUUAAGGUGAUGGACGGCCAGAUCAGUUGGAAUCCCGGGCAUGUCCUCCACCGUCCACGCGAAGACCUGGGAGUAUUCCCAUAACAGGGCCUUCAAACCCUCCUUCUCCUCAAAAUGUAGCGAUGCGCCAAUACGAAGGACCUAGUCAGGCCUAUCUUCCCUCAGGGGGAACUCCUCGACCUCGUCUUGGGUACUCAACUGCCGGGUCUCCUCCCCUGGAAUGUAAGGCACCAAGGUGGUCGUCUGGGCGACCACCUCUCCUGUCCCCGAAGUAUGGCCAAGUAGCAAGCUCUGACCACUUUUGGAUCGCCACGUACCUCGGCUAUUCCUCCCGGAGUGGGGAAUUUGACGCUGAGGUGGAGCGAAAAGGGAAUAGCUCGGAGGGCGUUCAAAGCAGGCCGACCCAGGAACACGUUGUACGGCGAUUGUUGUUUGACUACCACGAAAUUGACAGGGAUGGUCCGGCAUUUGGGAGCCUGCCCUACCGUGACCAUCAGGGUGAUCAUUCCCUUCGGGUUGACGGGUGGUCCGGUGAAACCCACCAGGGGUGUCCGAACUGGAGUCAAUUGUCUGUCCUCCAGGCCGAGCUCUUUGAACACCCGGUGGAACAGGAUGUCCACCGCACUCCCUUGGUCGACGUACAUUUUUUUCACCCGAUAGUUACUGGUAACGACGUCUAUCACGACAGGCUCGUGGUUCCCGGACGCCAGGGGAACCGCAUCCCUGGACCCGAAGGUGAUCUCCUCGUCCAUGCGCAAGCGAUUCAGGGAGUCAUCCCCCUCGGGGGGAGGUCGCCUGUUUUUUCCGAGCUGUGUGGCUAUCCCCCCCGUGGAAUCCCCACCGAUAGUAUUUAUCACCCCCGUUAGAUUCUGGGUGUUCUGGUCGGGGGAGCUAUCCCGAGGAGCGUCACGCCCAUCAGAGCGAUCGCGACGCUGGCUCUUGCCCCUGUCUCCGCGGUAGGUGCGUCCCGACUCCGGGCCUGGCCGACCUUGCCGCACGAAUCGUCCCAGGAAACCGCGCUGAAUCAGAUCCUCGAUCUCUCUCCGCAGGGUCCAGCACCCCUCUGUAUCAUGCCAACGUCCCGGUGGAAGGCACAGUACCGGUCCUGGUUUCGUUUGUUCCGAGGCGUCCCCAUCUUAGGCGGCCGUUCUCCCAGGCCCUCCGCCUCCGUGACGACUAGGAUCUGGAUUCGGGGCCGAGUCAGGAGGGUUAAGCCUUUUUCCGGAGGCAUUGGCGGAGCUGGGGGUUUCUCCUUCGAAAGCCAGUCAAAGACGUUUUUCUUGGUCGGGCCAUCCUUGCUCUCAGGUGGAUUUCCCCGUCCUCUCCGAACUCUGAGCUCCCGAUCUGACUUUCUCUUCAAGCGGGCCGCCUCCUCAGCAUUAGCGGCAGCGUGCGCCUUGGUCCAGAACUCCUCCAGGUCUCUGGGAGGCUUCUCGGCCAGCUUGUAGAAGAGCUCCUCUGCCCUGAACCCGUUCAUGAAGGCGGUCAUGACCACCUUUUCGUCCAUGUCCCUCAUCUGCAGGCUUUUCGUGUUGAAGCGGGUCAUGAAAUUCCUCAGUGACUCCUCUGGCUUCUGCCUGAUCGCCAUUAGGUGAGUCGCGUUCUUCGAAUAAGUUUUCGAAAAUACGAACUGGGCGACGAACUGCCUAGCCAGUUCGGAGAAGCUUCGGAUGGACCCCGGUGCCAGGUCCUGGAACCAGAGCCGAGCCUUUCCCUUCAGGAACAUGAGAAAGGUUUUGCAGCGGAUCUCAUCCGCAGCGGUUUGGAGAUGCAUGUGCGUCAGGAAGACCGAGAGGUGGUCUUACGGGCCUGUCGAAGCAUCAUAUAGCUCUAUGUUCGGGAUCUUGAAUCUCCGGGGUAACGGGUAGUCCUCUAUUCCCCGGGUAAAGGGCGAGAUUGUGUAGUUGUCCUCGUACAACUGCGGCUGCAAGAUCUGCUCGAGUUCGUCUCGAACAGGCUUUCACGGGGGAAGGUUGCGCGGCCGGCUCUUGAUAGAUCGGUCGGGGGAGCGUUCAGGCUGGUUCCGCGUAGGCUUCUGCGGGGAGGGGUUUAUCGGUCUGCUCCCCGCAGAUCGGUCGCGGGAGUACCUCUCGCUAUCCCCGACCAUCGAGGCUCGGGAGCGAGGGGGAGUCCGUGGCCGUUUCCUUCUGCGGGGCUGGUCCUGUGACUCAUCCUCCGAGGGGUCAGGGGGUGAUUCUUUCUCCUUCCCCUUCGUCUUGUAGGUCUGCGCGACCCCGGCUUCGCCCCCCCUCCUUCGCCUGCCGGAUGAUGUCUUCCAGCAUGGGGAGGUUCUCCGACACAAACUAAAGGAUCUGUUGUCUCCAUUCCCCUGAAAGGGUUGAGCCCCCGGCAUCCCGAUCUGCCUCGGUCUCCCUUCGCCGGGACCCCUCGCCAGCUCCAGGAUCGGUGUUCUCUACGGUCCGCUUGGAACGCGUUCUCGCCAUCAGCACGACUUCGACUACCUUUCGUUUCCCACAGACGGCGCCAACUGAAGAAGCGUUGAGCUUCCCCGGACCGAACUGACCUGAUGAGUUCGGCGUGUUGAGGAGGAGAGCGUGUCCCAAGCCUGCAAAGCAAACAAGAGAGUGGCCUAAUAGGGGAGCCCCGAGGUUGUCCCCGAGAGCACUCCGACGGUCAAGUUAGUUUUCUGGUGAGUGAAGUUCACGGAAAGUAAAACAGUCGGGCGUAAUUGGCCAAUAGUGAGCGUACCUUGCGUAGUUGGUGUGCGUUACCAUUUAUACCUGCUCUAGAGUCCGACCUCCGUACGUUUCGGGAUUUACCCGGUAUAGUCUCAAUCUCGCGCUGAAGGGGAUUCUCCCCGCCCUCUGCGGGACGGUUCUCUGGAGCCAUUCGGAGCCCUAGUGGUAGUGUGUCCCAGGACGGUUGUCAGGGGCUUAAGAUCCAAACCCAACUCUGCCCUUCCUGGGCUGCCAUGUGUCCAGGCCCAGAACGGGGCCUCUACAAAGUACAAAUCUUUUUGUCUUUCAUUCUUUUACUUGUAUAUUUUUUGUGGAGCUCUAACUUCCUAUGCAUACAAAUAUCUCUAGUGCCUGAAAAAAAAAAGACCUUUUCAUUUACACGGCAAUAGGCCCAAAAGCCAGUCUCUCCUAAAAACAAAAAACAAAAACAAAAAGACACUUCAUCCCAUGUAGAUCAGUUGCACUUUGCUCUCUGAUCAAACAAAUUAUGUUAAGACAUGAAUGAUUCAGAAUACAUUUUGGCUGGAUUUGUAAGGGUAAACUCUGUGUUAUUUUGUAUUAAACAAAAGUUCUCAUGGUUAAUUAUUUAUUUGGAGCUAACAACGGCGUGUUCCUCCCUUGUCAAUAAUACUGUCAAAAGCCAAUAAAUAGAACAAAUAAACUGAUAAAUUUACCCUCUACUCAGGCGAAUUUCUUAGUAUAUUGUCGAUUUUGAAAAAGUUUACAAAAUUGGGGGUAUUCGGGGUGUAGUGUUGGGUAAGGGGUCGCCGCAAAUGGGAUUUGAGUCUACUGAUAAAAAUUCUUUUAAUUUUCAUUUAUUUUACUGUCAUGUUUUUGGGUCAGUUUUUUGUAAAAAAAAAAAAAAAAAAAAACAUCUUGGCCGCGAAGGAAUGUUCCUAAUUGCAAUUGAGGCGGCGAAGCUUUUGUUUUUUGUUAUUUUUUUCCAUUUUUUUUGAAGCAUUCUUCCUACCUUUUUAUUAUUUCAUAUAUAAUUUUUAAUAAGUUAUUUAUUACUUCAUAUGUAAUUUUUAAUAAGUGUCGCCGCUCAUUCUAAUUUAUUUUUUUACUCCUAUCUGUUAUUAUUUCAUAUGUAAUUUUUAAUAAAUUACUUAACGUUUAAUAAAGGCAGCGCGACCAAGUUUUUCCCUGCCAUUUUUCAUAACCCUUAAAUAGGUGUAAUUAGAAUUUUACGUUUUACAUGAAAUACUAAUUUCAAAUUACAAUGUAAUACAUUUUAAAUUAAAAUUCUUAAAUCAUAUUACUAAAAUUCUAUUAUAAACCAAAAUUAUCAAAAAUUCAAAAUAUGAUAUUAGAAUAAUGAGAAAUUUAUAAAUUAACAUGAUAAUUGAAUAUGCUAUUAAAUUACUAAUAAAAUUUACUUAAGUCAUAUUUUUAAGUUUUAUAAUAUUAUUAUUGCAAUCAAUAAUGAUAAAUAAUACAAUAUUUACAGAAUGUAAUAAUUACUAUAUAAACUUAAAUAAUAAUAAAUUAGGCAUAAUUAGAGUUUAGAAUUUAAAUAAUUGGUAUGGUGUUAAAAAUAUUGUAAAAUUUACCUAAGUCAUAUUUUUAAAAUUUUUAAUGAUAAUGCUAAAUUGAAUAAUAAUAAAUAAUGCAACAUUAAACAAUAUUUAUAGAAUGUAAUAAUUAGCAAUAAAAUGAGUUUUGAUAAUUAUUUCACCCAUCAAUGCACCUCUUGCCCUUAUCUCGCAGAGUGGUAGAACAAUCACAUUUCUAAUGAAUUCUCUUAUGUGGUAGGUCUCGUCCUAAUUGUAAUCGUUCGGACCUCCGAGGUAGUGCAUGAACUUGUUCAGGUGUUUGAUCAUCGUCAUCAUCAACGGAGGGAUCGAAUACCGGAGUUUGACCGCAUCUAGGACAAGAACCAUGUAUAGACGCUUUAAAAGAAGCACUAAUGGGAACACUGUCGUCGUCCUUAUGCAAAGCAGGUGAGAAACCAGUCGAGAUCCCUAUAAAAUGGUGCAUUUGAUCAAGAUUAUCCUGAAACUGAAUUUCUGGACACAUCGUUAUAUCAAUCAUUGUAGACGACGAUGCAGCUGCAGACGUAUAACCAAAUACGGGUAUGGGAGUAGGUGUGUCACUGAAAUGACCUCCAAAAGCUGGCACAGUUGGAGGUGUGAAGAAAGCUUCAUUAUGAGAAAAGUGUAUGCCAACAGGUGGAUCGUAACCGGAUAGUGAUGAAGUCUGCAUUAUAUCUUCGUCCGGAACAUAAACAGCAUGCGUAGAGGUGCUUCCUCUGCGACGUCUAACUGCUUGUUUCCUACCACGGGCUUCCCUAGGUAGAUGCUCGACAGGCAUCUGAAAAGUGGCAGCAGAAGAGGCAGAUUGACUAAUAAAUUGACGAACAAAUGGACCAGCUACUGUUUUAUGUCCUAGAUUCAGGUAUUGUAAUGCGCCAAAUGCCUUCUCACGAAUGGCUAUUAGUCCCGGAUGAGCACACUGCGUUGGAUUUUCAGGAUCAAGAUACAUCUCACAGAUCGAACCAAUCCGAGACAUCGAAUCAACCUAAAAAAAAGAAAUUUGUAUAUUAUAGUCAUAUUAUAUGUUAAGAAAUAAACAUGCAAUGUGAUUUAAUUACAUAAAAAGAAAAAGGGUUUAAUAAUUUACCAAAUAGUCAAACUGUCCCCCAUCUGGCCGAUGAGUAUCAUCUACUGCUUGUCGUGAAACAGGAGGUGCUAUAUAGCGUACAGUAAUGUUCUGGUACCAUACAAUGUACUCAUCUGAAGGUAUUAAUGGAUCGCUGCGAUAUCCACUAACAACCGAUUGAGCAUGACGUUCCCAAUAUUGCACCCAAUGACUAUGGUACUGGGCCCAAUCCUUUCCGGAACAGUCUGAGUGACCUAAAGAAUGUAAUUUCUUAUCCGUGUUUGUAUCGACGGAGGCAGGUAUCGGUUGAAAUAACCCAAAUUGUCGUAGUACCCAUUAUGGAAAGUGAAAUUCCACAACCUCCCAAUAUAUCAAUGGAACUACUGACCGCCAUAUGUGCUGUCCGGCUGAGCAAUAAGCGGGGAGCUGUGCAAUAAGGUCGGUAGAAUAUGGCUCCCAGAUAAACUAUGACAAUAAAUUAGUUCAAGUAAGUGCGAUUAUAAAUACAUAUUCAGAGUUUGCUAUCAAAAUUGUAUAUUAGUUUGAGUACCUCGUCGGCUUCCAUCUUCAUGAGUGCAUCACAAAAUAAUGAGACGACAUGCGAUGGCACAUAUCUAGUUGUAUGUUCUCCUGCCCAACGACCACCUUUGGGAAAAUUAUCGCCUUGUACAGCAGGAAACAAAACGGUCGGACAAAUCCUGGGCAUCCUCUCCCAUGCCCAUAACUAUAAAAAAAUAUAAAAAUUUUCACUAAAAAAUCACUAUUAAAUGAAAUAUGGACGUGCAAUGAUUCCAAAAUUGGUACUGCAAAAGCAUGUGCGGGCCAGCUGUUCAGCUUGUGGUUGCGUAAGAUGCUUUACAGAGACGGGAAUAUAAACAGGCAAGUGUGGCGCUGCCCCAACUAAAAUUACUCAAAGCCUCUAGGUCUCGUAAGUAAUCCAACCAGUGGCAACUUACAACAUUUCCACACGUGUCGGCAAAUAAUUGCCCAGCAAAUAAGAUCAAAAUGUAGCAUCGAACAUGCUGUCGAACUAAUUCCUCCGGUGCAUCAUCUGGAAGAGGCUCGUAUAAAAAGUCAACUAUUGGAACAGGUUUCAACCUUCCAUUUUUAAAGUGUCGUGUCUCAGGUCUAAAACCUAGAAGCUCCUCGAUCAAUUGCUUCUUGUGUGCAACAUUUCUAUUUCGAUCAAUAAGUGUCACUGGUAAUCCGUCGACACGUAGACCCUAUAAUACCUACACGUCCUGUAAAGUGACUGUGGCCUCACCAAUAGGAAGAUGAAAUGUGUGGGUCUCCUGCCUCCAUCGCUCAAUAAGCGCUGUGAUCAAUUUCAAAAUACCCUGCCUGUACGAUCCCUCAAAAACCUAUUACACGAAGGUAAUUUGCUAUCCGAGGAUUCAACUGAUUUCGUACCAAAUCCCAAAAAAAACCAUCAGCUCGUUUUAUAUCGAGCUGACUCUCUUACCCUAAAAACACGGCCUUCGAUCGAUGUAUAUCCUGCAAAUAUAAUACGCCAUCUUUGUGCGGACCCUAUAUAGGAUCGAGCGUUUGUCUAGGCCAAUGUGACAUGUUUAGGAUAAUCUGCACAAUCAAAUAUUUAUUAAUAGUCAACACAUAGUCUCAAUUUUAUUAAAUUGUAUGUCAGCAAUAGACAUAUAGUCAAAAACUCCAGCAAAUAACUAACAUAAUACAUAAAUAACUACAACACAACCUUUAACUAAAUUUUCAUUCCAUUCAAGAUUUUACACAUGAAAAUGACUAGAAUAAGGGCAAUUGGAGGCGUUGUGGCCUGUCUGUGAACAGUGACUACAACGACGAGGCUCAUCGGGACAUCGACGAUCCAUUUGGUUAUAUAUUCUUGCAAUGGCCUUAGGAUCGGGUCUCUUUUGUUUAAUUCUUCCUACAUCAUAGUUAAGUCGCAACUCCGAAGAGAUCCAAUAAGCUGAAUCCGGUAGAGGUUGAAACUGUCCUUGAAGCGAAGAUUGCCAUGCUGAAAAUAUGUGCACGUGACCUACCAAAUGGUACGGAUUUGUACCCGACCUAUAACAAGCUGCAAAUACGUUCGAGCAUGGAAAUCUAAGCUCAGCCCACUUGCCACAUGUACAUGUGCCAUUCCCAAACUGAAUAAUCUGCGCAUUGCCACCUUUUCUAUUAUCACGUCGACCAAUAGUAACGGAAUAAAUUCCGCCUCUAUGAUCAUAUACUUGGACUGAGUGUGUCCUUGCUUUUAGUUCAUUUUCCAAAAAUGGCUUCCAUAUUUCUUUCGGAAAAGCAUACAUGGUGUUGAAGGCCAAUUUCCGCUUAGACAUAAAGAGUUCAACAAUUUGAUUAAAAGUGAAUUGUACGCAUGCUGUUAUUGGUAAUAAUCGAGCAUUGCGCAAUACAUUGUUGAAGCACUCAGCUACGUUCGUCGAUGUGUGGCCCCACUGAUAUCCCCCAUCCUUGCAUAAUGUCCACUGUUCCGGUUUCAUAGAACCACCAUUCAACCAUUUAUACGCCUCUUCAUUUAACAACCAUAUUUGUUCCAUAAAUGCCUCAUAUUUUUGGCUUGAUUUGCUGCACCGGCAGCCCACAUAAGAUCCUUCAAUCUGGACAAUGAUAAUUAAUCGAUGAUUAAACUCAUAUUUAGUAGGUAUUCAUGCUAUGUAUUCCGAAUGUAAUAUUCAAAAAUAUAUAUACCUUUGAUUUCGAAAUUUUUGGGUAAAGUUGCUCUGCACGUGUACUAAACAGUAUCGGUGCACGACCAACGGUUCUUUCCUCUCCGGUAAAGUAUUCAUAGCAUGUGUUAUGCCUUUGUGCCUAUCCGAAAUAACGCAGAUAUUUUCCACCUCACGGCACACAUGACGUCGCAAAUGCAACAUGAAUCAUGUCCAACUCCGAUUUGUCUCUUCGUCUACAAGUUCGAAUGCAAGUAGCCACUGCCGAUUGGAAGCAUCAAAACCAACAGCAACCAAUAAUUUUGCUUUGUAUGUACCCUUCAUAAAUGUGCCGUCAACACAAAUAACUGGCUUAAGGUGUCGAAAUGACUCGAUUACCGGUCCAAAUGCCUAAAACACGUAAUGAAAGAUGAUGCAUCCAGUACUACUUUGCGGAUGGUGCUCCCACUCAACAACUGUUCCAGGAUUGGCUUUAACCAAUUCCUGCAUGUACAUAAGGAGCGCAGCUAUAGAAGUUGGCCAAUCACCAUACACAAUAUCAAUCGCACGUUGCCUAGCAUACCAUGCUUUUUUGUACGAAACAUCCAUAUCAAAAGCACGUUUAAUGCUCGUUUGUAUUUCUUUGAUGGCAUAUAACGGACCAUUCUGGACGUGAUGUAUUAUGUACUCGGCUAUGAGUUCCGAACUCAACUGUCGGUGGUCAUUGGAAUUCGAAACUCACACAUACUUGUGUUCCUUCACAAAUGUUACAAUUUUCCACAUGUUAUGUGUGCAUCUUAGAGUGGCUCUUAGCUGCCAAUUGCAUGGAAGCGAAGCACUAUGGGACUUGCAGCGGACAUACCAAGUCAUCGAUUUACUUUCUCGCACUUUGAACUCUCUGUUGUGUUUGAUCGACCAAAGUUUGACAGCUCUCUGCACGUCGUUCUUUGUUUCAAAAACCAUUCCCAAUCUAAGCUCCUUUGUCCGCUCAUCCCACACAUUGUACUCCGCCGAAACUCCUUUCUUAAAUGGAUCAAAAUUCAGUGAGGCUUGCACACCUUCAAGAUCAUUUAGUUGGGCUGGUAUAUGAUAUGAGGUCGAUGGACCGACAGCCGAUUGAACCGGUGGAUUGUCAGAUUCUUCAUCUAUUUGAUCCUGCUCAUCAUCGUCCGAAUCAUCACCGUCUGGUUCUGGUUCCGUGUCUUGAUCAACAUUAACUCCUUCACUAUCUGGUAUGGUCGAUAGAAUUGUCGGAUUGAAAAUUUCCGUUUGAGGCAACUCAUCAAAAGAACGAUUUAUCAUCCUUGCACUUUGAGUUACCUCAGUACAAAACAUACUGUUUGACUCCUUUUCAAAAUCAUUCUCGAGUAAUGAUGUUUGUCCACCCUCAUGGUCACUUUGAAUAUGAUAGGUUCGUGGCUCUACUUCUAUAUAUAUCUCACAUGCCGUGUGUGGUGACAUCGACUUCAUAUGAUAUAGUGUAUCAAUGUCAUCCUCGCAUUCCAAUUGUACUCCAGCAAAUAUGUUUUGGCCAACAGCAUUUCUAAACCAUAGAUUCAACUUGCAAAUAUUCUGAUCUAAUUGCAUGUAGGUGUACACUCUAUCCACCAAUUCAUCAUAACUUAUUCGAUGUUUCACUAAAACAGCUUUUUUACACCAUGGAGGUUCAUAUGCGAAUGAUCCUCCGGUCUCGUUUAUUCUGCCUCCUCAAUAAAAUUGAAACACCAAUGCAAGAUCCAUCGACAUUUUUUCCUUAAUCUUACGAAUAUUUUUAUGUCAACUUAUUUCUUUUAACAACUUAUCAUAAUUACAAAUAUUAAUGCAAUAAACGUUUUCAUUGGUAAUAGCACCACUAAUAAAAUAAUCAUCAAUAUCAAAUAAAUAAAUAAAAAUAAAUUUAUCAAACAAAUAGUAUUAUUCACAUUAUUAGAGUAAUGAUUUUCUUUAAUUAAUCAUAAGUAUUAUUAGACCAUGCUUGUAGUACUGUAACUUAUAUUUUUAAAACUAUUAGUAUUACUUAUUGUUUAUUAUUCAUAUUAAUAUUACUAAACUAUAGAUUACUAGUACUGGUAUUAUUAAUGUAUCAAUUAAUAUCUCACUAUCUCAUAUUGUAUUAUUGUUAUUUUUACUAUAUAAUUUUAAACACUCAGUAUUUAUUAUUUAUUAUUUAUUAUUUAUUAUUUAUUACUUACUAUUUAUUAUUAACUAUUAACUAUUUAUCAUUUACCAUUUAUUAUUUACCGUUUACUAUUUACUAUUUACCCUUUACUAUUUACCAUUUACCAUUUACAUUAUCAGUUACUUUUUACUAUUUACUAUUUAUCAUUUACUAUUUACUACUUACCACUUAUUAUUUACAAUUUAUUAUUUAUUAUUUACUAUUUACUAUUUAACAUUUAUCAUUUAUCUUUUAUCACUUACUAUUAACUAUUUACUAUUUAACAUCUACCAUUAUUUACCUUUUAUUCAUCAUUCGCCUAAACGACUACUGCAUCGAUAAAAUUAAUUCUAAAAUCCGUCAAUAAAUAAUCUUUAAAAAACUUCUUUAGUAACCAUAAAGGCUAACCUUAUCAUUUGACUGUUAAAUAAUCUUAAAUGUAAAUAUUAAUUCACCUGCCAACGAUUAUUAAAUGUUAAAAACUAUCACCGUUUAUUCAUCUGACCUUUAAUAUCCAUAAAUAAUCAUUUAAUAAUAUAUCUUACUAUUAAUAUUCAUUAUUAAUUCACCUAAAAGACUUGUAGGCAAACCAUAAAUAAAUCAUAAAUAAAAGACUACUGCAAACCAUAAAUAAAAGACUACUGCAAACUAUAAAUAAAUAUCUCAUUCCAAAAUUAAAUAAAUGUAAAGUAUCAUAAUAUUUAGAACUUAACAUAACUGCAAAUAUAAUACAAAUAUUAUUAACAAAAUUAUUAAAUAAACUAACCUGGUCAGUGAUAUGUCGUUUCUUUACAAAAUUUCUUUCCGAUCCACCCCUCAAAUUGUAACGUUGCUUUCCUGAAUCAUCGUCUUAAUCGAUCAGUUAUUCUCGAAAAUUUAGGAGAAAUAUAAGAUGAGGACCACCAGAAAGGGAAAGCUAAGAAAAAUUUGUGAAAACGAUGAAGAAGAAGAUGAGGACCACACCAGAAAAAGAAAGAAAGCGAAGGAAGUGUGUUUUCUCAAGUGAAUAUAUAGAGAAGAGAGAAAUGUUAAGGUUGUCCGUAAAGAUGGGGCAGAAUAGCUAUUGUCGGCAAACAAAUAAUUGUAGUACUGCAUUGACUACAAAUUGUUUUUGACUAAAUACUUAACUUUGAUUAGUUUAGUUUAAAAAAAAAUUAGUGCAUGGCCGUUGGCCUUUUUUAUCCAAUGACAACCAUUGGAUAUGUUGGGUUGAUGGGGUUGACGGUGAAAAAACUGUCGCGGGUGAACAUUUCCCUUCCUGACCAUCAUGAACUCCAACGCCAAGCAUUUUUAUAAUCUGUCCUCCAAUUGGCAGCAUUUUUCUGGAUGCAGUUUUGACAGCAUUGGUGGUUUCUGUAGCUUCCCCAGCUUCAUCUUGCCCCAGCACCACACCUGCAAAAGAAAUUAAAAAAAAAUCUUAGAAGGAAAUUAGCUAGUAAUGGAUGGUAAUUGAGUUGUACUAGUAAUUAAUACUCUAAUUGAAUUUAAAGACAAACUAACAAUUCAAUUAGGUUAAAUGCAUUAAAUCUCCGUGAACUUUCACCUUAGUUGCACUUGACCCCCUAAACUUCUCUAAUAGGCACUUUUUGUGCCACCCAUCCCCCCAAAAAAAUGUCCUUGCAAUAAUUUUUUUACUCUCUCAUGAUACCAUUUCCUUCCUUUCAUAUUAGAUGAUACGAAUAAUUUGAAUACUAUAUGAAAUAUGCUUAGAGAGACAAAGAGAGAGAGACUAUUGUGUUAAUUAUGACUGUAUGCAAAUGAUAAAACAAAAUAAGUACGAGAGACUAACUAGAUGCAAGGAGCACAAGAACAACGAAGAAAGAAUAAUUAAAAGCCGUUUGAUGUGAGAUCCUGAGUGCAUAAACUUUUGCACACAUGCGUAUAUAUAUGGUGCUGAAUGAAACGGUAGAUGUAACCCCUUAGGGAGUGCCUAUAGAAACACUUUAGGAGUAAACUAUAAUUAGAUAUAUAGUUUGUGGGGUUUUUUUGUGCAUUUAAUCCAUUUUAUUAGACAAAAUACCUCAAGGGGUUUAUGUGGAAAAGUGCUAAAUCACAGAAGUAAAGUGUAUUUUACCCUAAAUUGAAUUAUAUGGUCAUAUAACCUGAAACAUUAGGACUAUUUAUUCUACGGUAUUGUCAAUUUAAACCAAGCCAAUGAGUCUUUUGGCUAAACAUGCUUCCUCCUUGAGAUAAAUUACGGAUGCAUAUUUUAUGUCAUUCUCUCCACUAUAUAAUUUUGAGCUUUGAAAUUCCUCCAAUUGAUGGGUGGAUUUCAAAUCCAAAUCCCUCAUCCAAACAGAUCCUAAGAAAAUCUUUCCUACUUCACCCAUCGUUUUGUUAUGGCAUUUUUGCAGGCCAAAUGAUUGUACAAAUAUGGUCAUACAAUUGCGAACGAAGUACCAUGCCCUCGAUCCUUAUUUCUUAAUGCUCUUGAGUUCCAUGCCUCCUUUUAGUUUCUUGAACAUUGGAAUUAAUCAAUAGGGUCAUCAAUCAAGUAAUUGUAAAGUUUUAAUUUGACUCUUGAGCUCUUCCUUUACGCUUUUUUUCUUAAUUAGACUUAGAGUCUCACUUGAAGAAUUGAAGUACAAAUCUUUUUGUUUUUUAUUCUUUUACUUAUAUAUUUUUUGUGGAGCUCUAACUUCCUAUGUAUUCACAUAUCUCUAGUGCCUGAAAUUGCUGCUAUUUCACACAAAAAAUUAUUGAAAAAAAAAACUUUUCAUUUACACGGCAAUAGGACCAAAAACCAGUCUCUCCAAAAAAAAAAAAAAAAAAAAGGCACUUCGUGCCAUGUAGAUCUGUUGCACUUUGCUAUCUGGUCAAACAAAUUAUGUUAAGACUUGAAUGAUUCGGAAUACAUUUUGGCUGGAUUUGUAAGGGUAAACAUUGUGUUAUUUUGUAUUAAACAAAAGUUCUCAUGGUUUAAUUAUUUAUUGGGUUAAUUUCACAUACCUCCCCUAAGUUUUUUACAAUUGUAGAAAGCUCCCCUCAAGUUCUAAAAAUUGCACCUACCUCACCUAUUUUCACUAUUUAAGUAACAUUUUAGGCACAAAAGGCUAUACUUUUUCUGAAAAUUCCUAUAAUGCCCUUAAGUUAUAAUUCACAACAAAAAUGUAAAGGAAAAAAAUGGUUCACAAUCUCUGUUUCUUUUAUCUUACUUGCUAUGACUAAUACCUACCCAUCAACAUCUAAAUCACCAUUAAAUAAACAUUUAUCUUUGUUCUAAUGUUCCUCUUUUAUCUAAAAAUUUUUUAUGCUAACCAUUGUACCAACUAUAAACACUACAUCAGAUACUCAAAAGUUUUCCUACAAUCUCAUAUCAAUAUAAUAGUUUGCUUAAUACACAACAAUAUUCAUUAAUAUCCCUAAAUUUUAAUUCCAUGGCUGCCACUUUUUUAAUACAAAAUAAUCUAAACCAUUACUACUAAUAUCAAUAUCCAAUAUAUUCCAUUGGCACAGAGUUCAAAAUCAAUCAAAUUCUCUAUAUAGGAAUAAUAUCAAUAAUUGUAAAUCAACAAUAGAAACAAAAUGCAGUUAUAAAUAUAUACCAAGGACACUUUUUUUUAUGGCAAGAUAUAAAUAUAUACCAAUGUAGUUAUAAUAAUGCAGUUAUAAAUAUAUACCAAGAUAUGUACAUAUUUGGUUUGGUGUAUAUGAUAAUUUUAUUAGUAGUGACAGUACACAUUUGGUUGAUAAUAAUAAAUAAAUGAGUUUAAAAGGAAAAUGGAUGUAGGAGAAAGAGGAUAGGUAGUUAAAUGGAAAAAGCUAUAGUUUGAACUAUUGGUUGAUAAUAGAUGAGAGAGCUUUAAUAUUUGAUAGAGUUUUUCAAUGAGUUGACAAUUAAUGAAGGGCAUUGUUGUCUUUUUAUUAUAUCAAGGGAGGUUUCUAUAAUUAUGUAAAUUUCAAGGGAGCCGAGUGAAAUUAUUAAAAAUCUCAAGGGAGGUUUCUAAAAUUAUCCCUUAUUUAUUUAGAGCUAACAAUGGCAUGUGCAUCACUGGACUCUUCAAAGUUUCUUUUGAUCGAAGUAAAAUAGUCUUGUCAAAUAUAAAUUAAGUUAUUAAAAUGGGCUAAAGGGCCUUGUGGGUUAAUUUUAGGGUUAAUUACAUUUGUCUCCGUUAAGGUUUGACCAAUCAAUGAACCAAAUCUUGAGGUAUUACUAAAUUACAUUUGCCUCCCUUGUCAAUAAUACUGUCAAGAGCCAACAAAUAGAACAAAUAAAAUGACAAAUUUACCCUCUACUCACAACAAUAAAUAAAAUUCACAAAAAAAAAAAAGAAAAGUUGCAAAAAUAAAAAUUGAGAGAGUUUAAUGGAGAAAACAUAAAGAUAAUUGAACAAAAUAAAUCUUUAUCCCAAUACCUAAACUUUUGAUAGAUAAAUGAAAAUAUAACUAUGGAAAUUGUAGAAAAUAAUAAAAAGGAAGUUCAUAUACAAAAGAAAAAUUAAUCAAAAACUUAACAUACAAAGAAAAAUUAGUCUGACUUGAAACUCAUUGCAUGAAAAACAAAAACAAGUAAACUCGUUAUUAGAUACAGGAAAGAAUAAAAAAAAUUAACAAAGAAAAAGAUUUCCUGUUGUCCAUAGGUGCAUCGUACUCCUCAAAACCUUAAUUCCUCCUGUUCUCAUCUUCAAGUUAUCACUCAUCUCUAACACACUCCAAUUCCAAACUAUUGCAAAUUCAUUCAUCUUUUAACACCAUAACCUACGUUCUCUAUCCUCUCCCCUAAAAAUCCACAAAAAAUAGACAUAUAAUUGCCGUGUACGAAACCAAAUCGUGGCAACCCAAUUCUUUGUACACAUUCAAGAGAAGCAAAGCUGGCAAGACAGAAACAAGAAGUCAGCAAAAUUUGAUACCGGGAAAGCCACAAAAAUCACAUGCAAAACCAUAUCCCAUCUUAGCCAUGAGCAAUGCACAGAAUCUCUUCUCCACCUCCUCAUAAACAAGGUUCGUCAUUCAAAUCUCAUGUCGAGAGGACAAUCAUUUGGACUCAAGAUUUGGUUUUGGUAGUUAAAUUGCAAGAUCUAUAUUUUGAUAGGUAUUGCAAUUCGUUUUUUUUAUUUUUCUUUCUUUUUCCUACUUUUGAUUGAAUCUAAGGCUGACAAUUUGUGAAGAAAUAGUGUUUUAAUAGAAGAAGAGGAAGGAAAAGAAGAAGAAGAAGAAGAGCAAGGAGUAUUUUUGAUAAGCAACCAGUGAGUGUGUGCCCAUUUAAUUCCACUCUACACGAACAACGAACUAUUGUGCAACUAACAAUUUUGCAACUCUGUUGGUUUCAAUCGCUAAGGAAGAGAAGAGUCAAAGACUUAAAUGGGAAUAAGCUUGUGAGAAGUUUAGGACAUUCACUGACUUUUUCGUUUAAUAUCAAGCAGUCAACGUUUGUUGACUAACGAUGGGGGCUUUUGUUAAGCUUUUGUGAAUUCGAAGGGUUCUUCAGUAGUUUUGGUCUUCGAAGGCAUUUUUUGUGUUUUAUGAUUUGCUAAUUUAGAAAGCUUGAAGGGGACACCACACCAGAUUUAGCUAUUAAUCCUUGUAGCUUUGGUUUUUGUACACUGAAAUUUUGAGACUUAAAAAACGAAAAAAAGAAAAGAAAAAUUAAAGUAAGACAUUAAGAUUGUAUUAGAGGAAAUACUAAAAGAGUAAAUUUUAUAUACACGGACAGAGUAUACUAGUUGAUGUUUAUUUUAUUUUAUUUUAUGCUAAUUUAGAAGGAUAGGAAGGGACACCACACCAGCUUUAGCAAAUAAUCCCUAUAGCAGGUCCAGUAGUAUUCUGGACUCCAAAUGCACCGCGCCAAAACCCCUACUUUGCCUGAUCUAGCAAGCAGUGAUUUUAAUGGUAGCGACUCUACGGUAAUGGAAGACCAAAAAGUCUUCAAUUACCACUCCAGAGAAAAUUGGACACUUUUGUAGUCUUGAUUAUUCACCAAGCCACAAAAUCAAAGAAAAGGUAUUCGUAACUUUCUCUGCACAACUCUCUCUCUCUCUCUCGACAGUUUUCUCAGACCCAUCCUCACCGCCCUGCACUUGUAGGCUCUACUCCAACAUAGGUUAAUUAUAUUGGAGCCAAGCUAGAGAUGGUUGAGUUUUCUUGUUCUCCUUCUUGUUUUUCUUUUUCCUUCUGAUUUCGCUGGUUAUUGACUGGAUUCUAUAUGAGAUGGUUGAGGGUUUCUGGAUUUUUGGUUGAUUUUCUGUCGUUCUGGUGGGAUGCUGGGUAUUCAUGGUGAAUUGGAAUUUUUGAGUAGCAAUUGGCGGUGGGUUUUCCGAUUUAUACAAACUUGAACAAAACUUAGUUUGUUGAAUUUCAAUUGACAUUUGCUCAUUUUGAUGGAGACGAUUUGUAGUAUUUGAGAUAAUUUUGUGAUGUUUUGGGGACUAGUAUGGGUUCUAAUGUCAUAGGCUGUGGUUGCUGGCUGGUGCUUGGUGAUGGUUUGGCUCCAGGGAUCAGCCUAUCCCAUUACGAAGCAAGAAAAAAAAUUGAAGAAAAAAUGGAAAUCCAUUACAGUAAUAAAAAGAAGGGUAAAAUACAUUUUACUCUCCUGUGGUUUAACGAUUUUUCAUAUAACCUACCUAUAGUCUCAAAAGUUAUAUAUAUAACUCCCUUAUAGUUGGAACUAAAGUGUCAAACAGACCCAUGAAAAUAUCGAAAUUAUUCUUGUUUAAAAAUUAAAAUAAUUGAAAUGAUCAAAAUACAUAAGUAUAACAUGCACGACAUUUUAAUAUCAUAUAGUUUUAUAAUUACGCUUUACAUGGAAAGAAAGAAAUAAGAGAACACUUCAGAAUACCACUACACCAGCUGACAAAAUAGUUGCUGAUAUCAACAAUGACUGUUAUUUCAUGGCCAAGAGCUCCUCGCACCAAAGAAAAUUGGCAACUAGUUUUGGAAUGGGGUUUGCCCCAAUCUUGUUUGUAGGAUUAGACUCUUUAGCAUGUAGUAGUAGUACUAGUCAUGGUUUUCAUUUUCUUUACAUGAUUAAUGAAUUAUACAGUGUAGUUACACUUGUGACGUACAUGUAUAUGGAGACUUCUGGCUCUCCUUUGUAAAGCUUUCCUGCAUAUCGAUAAAGACCAAACAUUUGCCUAAAAAAAAUGAUUCUAGGAUAUUAAAUAUUUUUUUUUGUGUAGUAAACAUGCUUAUAUACGAUGUUUUAGAUUUCAAAGACACUGAUAUGAAGAACUUAAUUUCAGGUGCAAAAUGUUAUUUUUACUUGCAGAUUUCCUGUCUGAAGUUGAAGCUGAGGAGUCAAUUAAAAAGUACACCAAGCCCUCUAGAAAACUCCUUCAGGACGAAAUGCUUAUUGAAAUAUUUGGGAUUAAGGAUGGCCAUGGAGAAAAUUCAUGUGCCCAUACCCAUUAACGCUGUUUUGAGAACAUUUGUUGUUCUGGUUGUGUGUGUGGGAGAUAUAGUUUACGGUGUAAUGGCACCUGCUGAACACAGAUCCACUGCAAUUGCUGGAUUUCUUGUCCAGCAAAGUCCUCCUGCUGUUGAAGCUGCUUGUAAAACCUGAUGUCGUCAUGAUCUAUUUUUUGUAUUGUGUAAAUCUCUUAUUGUGGAUACAACAUUUCUCCUCUAGAUUUUUUCAUUGUCAGCAACAGGUUGUUUCAUUCUUAAAGUAACUUUAAGACAAAGUUGUCUUUUUCUUUUCUGUAUUAUUUUCUAAAAUUCUUAAGUAAUUUCACUAUCAACAAGCACGCAACAAAGCAGUAGCUGCCCUAACAUUUGGACCCAUUCUACCAGCGUCUCCCCGCGCGUGCGCAAACACACACACACACACAUAUAUGCUUAUACUAUAUAAGAUUGAGUUUUGGUUAAAGAAUAGGUUGAAUUUCAAUCGCAUAGGUGGGGGUUUUUUGGGAAUGUGAAAUGUUGUGUAUUAGUUUAAAAGGUUUAGGUACAACUUAAGGAAGCAUAUAUUUGGGUAUGUUUACUGAAAUGACCCCAUUUUAAUACAUUUAAAGUUAUCAUUAAUGAGCCAUCUAGGUAUUGAUAGAAUGUGUAAUUAGUGUGCAACCGUUUUUGCAUUUUGUACAACCCAUAUAUGCUUGUGUGUUGGUAUAAUUAUCGGAAUAUCCCUUAGCUACCAAUAAUUCCCCUUUUCACCGUAGAUAACCGUUUGAGAUGUUACUUUGUCUGAAACGUUUGAAUGGCAAUUGGAUUUAGGAAAUGAUCCAACGAUUUCUCUAUCAAUGGUAGGAACCCAUUUCUCUAUUAUUUAUAAUCUGCAUUUAUGAGCCACAAACGUUGGUCGGUUUAUCCCCUCUCAGAUUCAGGAGUUAAGUUUUCUCUUUUUACCUUUGUCUAUAACGAUUUGCUUCAUCGUUUUCUCUUCCAUCCGAGCUCAACUCUGAAAUUACCUAUUAUUUUGUCAUUAAUUACAUCCAAUUCAAUUGCCAAACCGAUGGUAUGUUAAUGCAUAAACGAUUGAUUAUCAGUUUCUCCCUGUUCGCAUUCUAGGAUUGGGAUAAUUCUACCUGACUUCAAACUAAUCAACUCAGAAUACUCUUCAAUCUCAGUUACUCCUGGUGGUUCAGAGUGAGGUUAGAUUUCAUUCCCACCCCAAUUUUUCAGUUCCUUCCUUAAUUUUAUCGAUGUGUUCUUAGUACCUACAACUAGCGACUCUUAUCGCGUUGCUUAACUCCAAUUGGUCUGGGUUGGUUAUAAUCUUAUAGGUUUGGAGUAACAGCAAGUAAGAGCUCUCGGUGGGGAUUCUAGAAUAAGGUUAGCUUUCUGUGUUGCUCUGCCUUUCUGCAUUAUCAACGACUUUCAAUUUGACACAGAGUUAUUAUAAUGCUGUGUGAAUUGAUUGAUUAUAUCGUUUAUUUUUUCAUACUAAGUUUUAUUUCUUCUCAUAAUGUACUAUUAUUUGUUCAACAAAAAAACCUCAUUCCCCACAGGUACAAAACAUCGUGCGGGCAUUCCCCCCUAGUGUGUGUGUGUGUGUGUGUGUAUGAGCUUUUUUUGAGGUAUAACAGUUUUUAACAUGAAACGAUAUUUUCUUAUCAUAAAUUAAACAAAGAGAAUAAGAAGAAAAACUGCUGAUCUUAUUGUGAGUCACCCACAAAAGUUUUUAGUCCCAGAAUGUUUAAGUGAUAUUUUUGAGUACUUUUCAAGAGCUCUUGAGGUUAGGUCCCCCCCCCCUCUCUCAAGAGUCUUGUAUCUUUAAUUUUAAUUAGUUAAUAAAAUAAAAUUUAUUUAAAAAAUAAAAAUGAAAUGUUUUUGGGAGAUGUAUAACUUUAGAUCAGAGACAUACGUGAGUAGGGCUGCAAACGAAUCGAGCCGCUCGCGAGCGGCUCGAGUCGAGCUUAGAAUAUUAAGCUCGUUAGCUUGCGAGCCGGCUCGCGAGCCUGAGUAUAUAUAUAUAUAUAUAUAUUUUUUAUUUAAUAAUAAAAUUACGUAUAUUAUAUAUAUAUUUUUUAAUUUUUUUAUUUUCAUAGUAAAAUUACGUAUAUAUCCUUAAUAUUUUAUUAUUUAUUAAGAAAAAAAGAUUAUUUUAUUUAUUUUUUUAUUUUUUUCGAGCUCGAGCUCGGCUCGACUUGAUUCGAGUCGAGCUCGAGCUUGGUAAAAUUUAGUCGAGACCCGGCUCGAUUAGCUCAAAGCUCGACUCGACUCGACUCGUUUGCAGCCCUAUACGUGAGUACUCCAUUUUGAACCCCGAUUAAGCCAUUAUCAAAAAGUAGUAGUAAAGUAUUACGAGUUGGAAAAAAUAUAGUUUUGGUCCCUGAUGUUUAGCUACUUUGCAGUUUUAGUUUUUAAAAUUUUGUUAAAAACAAAUUUGAUUCUCAAUGUUUAGUAUAUGUGUAGUUUUAGUCCGUAAAAUUUUAGCAAUAGUAAAUCUGGUCCCCAAUAUUACAAAUUGGAAGCAUUAUUUAGGACAAUUGAUGGAUUUUUUUUCAAAUAUUGACGGAAUUAAUCAUGACAAUCACAUGUUUGCUGAAUUAAAUUUCUUAAAAAAGAAGCAAAAUAACUAGUAAUCUUGAACAAUAAGAAUAACUUACAUGAUAGAACGUUAGUAACUAAUUAUUAAAGAAUAUAUAUGAAAAACUAAGUAUUAUGAUUUGUUGAUUAAAGGUAAUAGGAUUCGAAUAUGAAAAUGGAUUCUAGAUCGAUGAAUUGAAUGCUUCGAAACCUUAGUUAAUUAAUUUGGACAUAAGCAAUUAGUACUUAUUAUUGUUAUUUAAAGUUAGCCACUAUUUUGAUUCUUUAUUUUGAAAUUUAAUUUAAUGGACACAUGAUUAGACAUGACUACAUUUUGUUAGUAUUUGAGAAAAAUUCUUCAAAUGUUUUAAAUCUGCUUUAAAUUGGAUACACUGGGUACCAGAUUUGUUCUUAUCAAAACUUUAAGGACUAAGACUAUACAUAUACUAAACACUAACGGCCAAAUUUACUUUUGCUAAAAUUUUAAAGACUAAAACUGCAUUUUCCCCGUCCCCCGCCUCCCGCUCCCCCCGCCCCGCCCCGCCCCCGCCCCGCCUUGCCCCGCUUCUCCCGCGGGGUUAAUAAAAUUUUAUUAUAAUUAAAUUUUAAUAAAUAAUCAAGUACUAAAAUAGCAAUACAUCACCAAAUUAUUAUUCAUUAUAAUUUUACAAUUGAAACUCAUAAAAACAAUCAAACAGAAGUUAUUUGAAUACAAUCCAAUACGAUGAAAUAAAUAUAACUGAAAUAGUCAAAUUUUCACUUUUAGUACAAAUGCAAUCACUAAUUCAUCUUGUGUUUGUGCCUUUUUUUGAGAAAAAAGUGUUAUUCUAUUAAGUAUAAUUAGAAAUUUAGUAUAAAUGUAUUAGUAAAUUUAGUAUAACUAAUUAAUAAAUUCUAUUAGUAGACAUGUAUAAUUAUUCAUAUAAUUGAUAAUAUCAAUUAUAUUACAUAAACAAAUAUACAUUAUAUAAUACAUCUAACUAAUAAUAUCAUUAUCAUAAGUUUAUAACUAAUUAACUUACAUAUAAUAUAUAGUCAUUUAUAUAUAUAUAUAUAUAUUUUGCGGGUGGCGGGGCGGGGGAUGGGGCGGGGGAGUAUACCCCCGCCCCCCGCCCCGUUUCUAAGCGGGGGGAAAAAAUUCCCCCCCGCCCCCGCCCCACCCCCCGCCCCGUGAGCCCCCCGCGGGGCGGGCACCCGCCCCCAUUGCCAUCCCUAGUCAUAACUAUCCACUUAGUCGUACGCAGAUUUUAGAGAAUCCCACACAGAGAUCAAACGAGAUUUGUUUUGAUACCUCCAAAUCUACUAGAUUGGUCCAAUAACUUUUUAAAUUGAAACUAUGUGUUAAUUCAAAAUUAUUAAUAAUCCAUUGGACCGAAACUUAUAUUUCAUUUCUUUCUUCUUCCGAUAUCCGAUGUGGAUUAUCUCAGUAGACAUUCACUUGCAUGAACACAAAAAACACGUUCCGGAUAAGAUUUUGGGAUAAGAUGGCUGAAUGAAAAGGUCGUUGGUGGUAAUAGCUUCACUCGAUGAUUGGGGGUAGGUGGCAAUAAUUUCUGGUGUAGCCUUAAAAAGAAUAGGACACUAUAAAAAAAUAUAUUAUCAUUUAUUCCUAUAUAUCUAAUAGAGGAAAUUUAUGUCUCUUUUAUUUAUAUCGCAUUACUUUCCAGUUCCUUUUUUGGGUAAGAAAUAAAAAUCAUAUAAUAUCAAAAAUUUUUAUAGAAAAUAAGAAUUGAUAUAUAUCCAAACAAAAAAGGAGUAAGCCACGUAGGAAACUACUUGUCGUCUCGUUAAGCCACGUAGGAAAGAGAAAAUAUAAAGGGAUAAGUAUAAAAAUACGACUUUAUUAUAUAUAUAUAUAUAUAUAUAUAUAUAUAUAUAUAUAUGAUUACUUUGGAUUGCUCUUCCUACCUUAUUCAUACCUCAGCCGUCCUUCUAGUUUCUUCUUCUACUCCUCAUUUUUUCCCUUUUAUCAUUUUUUUAAUUUUAUUAUUUAGACGGUGAAAAUGAUGAUAAAGUUAGUAAAGAUGUACAUUACAAAAAUUUUUUUUUUACCAUAGAAGGCCAUUUGGUAGUGAAGAAGAUGAUAAUGGCCAAUAUAAAUAUCAAUUAUAAAGGACGCAUAUAUCUUCAGUACAUGGUUGUUCUACUUUUCUUUCUUUUUUGUUAAUUUUCAAUAUUGGAGUUGAUUUUACAAACCUUAUUUGAUUUGUUCUUGACUUGGGAGAGUCAGAAUCUUCUUUUUCCAUUAAUUUGAGAUAUUCGGUAGAUAAAUUUAUAUUUGUUUUGAUCUUUAAUAUUGCUAAACGAAAAACAUUUUCAUUUCUUUGGUUGAUGAAUUGAAAAUUGCUAGACAUUGUGUAAAAGAUAUUUCAGAAUUCAGGGUUUUUGCCUUUAUUUCAUACUUCCUCAUUAUUAGCUAUUUUUUUAUUAUUAAAAAAGUUUUUUAAAAAAUCAUCGAGCCGAUGAACUGACUGGUUAAACCGAUUUAAAAAAAAAAAAAAAGAACCGAACAUCCACCCAAUUUGUUUGGAAAAAAAAAAAUCCACCUAAUUCAUUUACCUGUCCGACUUUGAAAACAUCGAGGACAGCACAGAUAACAGAAAGGACAACAAUUCUUCGACAAAAUUAAUGGGCUGCCCUACAAGCAACCAAGUACACAGAAGAUAACAAUUUGAAAUUGACUACUUCCUAACAAAUUUAUAUCUAUUUGAAAGAACAAUUAAAAAGUGAAUUAAAGAAUGAUUAAUGGUACAAAUAAGUCACUACCAGCCAAUAAAUACUGCAAGUUGUCAUGUGAAAAGGUUCUUCCGUUUAUUUAAGUGUAAUUAAAGGCAAGGGGAUUGCCGGCCUGCCGCUUAAGCUUCUCAAUCACAACAUGUACUAGUAAUAAGCAUUUAGCAGUACGUGUCUUUUGAGGUGGACAUAAGGUGUAAACUAUUUAGCCAAACCUGCUUUUUUUUUUAUUUAAUAUUUUCAGGUUCAUUCAUUCAAGAUGCAUUUGGUAAAAUUAAAAUCUGACAUCGUUAAGUUAUUAAAUUAUAAAUACUGAAAUCAUAAUAUUUGAGCAUAUUCUGCAUUCAAUGAAAUCCUACACCGUUCGAACCCAUUUAAUUAAUUAAAAUGCUCAAUUUCUCGUUAUCAAACAUAUCUAAACAUGUUAAAGAUCUGAAUAUAUUAAAUAAGUUUAAGUGCUGAAUUAAAUUAUCAAACAGGGUUUUAGUUUAAGAAGCUUAAAAUUGCAUUCAAGUGUACAUUUUUAUUUAUCAAACUAGUUUUUCACCCUCGCACGAGGAUGCCCUUGGUCUGUGUUUUGUUUAUCAGUAGCAAUCUUUAUUGUGAUUUGUUAAACACGUUUAUUGGGUAUUUCAGUUGCAAGGGGAUACGAUUCUUGCUGUUGUUUAUUUACCCAAUGCUAGUGGCAUUGCUGAGCAUGUUCAAUUGCAUUUGACAUACGCUGAGAAUGCAGUUAUUCGUCCUGUGAUGAUGCAAGAUUGCUUUCAAAUUGGCUCUAGUCCAUAUGAAAUAACACUAACAAAGCACACUUUUAUUCAGCAAGCUGUAACCGUUCAUGAUUUAGCUAUUCACAAUUAUUAUCAGUUGACUCGUUUUGGAGAUUUGGAAUCCCUCAUUGAUCAUGCUAAUCCAAAAAAUAAGUAUGGCUGACUAAUUUUACGUAAAAAGAAAAUUCUCUGUAGCUUGCUUUGUUUAUAUGAGUGGUUAUAGUUUAAUAAUAAUUUUGAGUUGUACUGUAGUUAUUACUUGGAUUGACUAUUCAUGCUUUGCCAGCACGUACGAUAAUUGUAGGGAGGAGAAAUGUACAAAUGCAAGAAUUCGUCGUUACGAAUGAAGAAUAGUAUAUCUUGAUAAGCUGAAGAUGUGUUUGAUAGGGAUAUUGGGUAUUAAUUUGAUUUGCUACUCACUAUUUUUGUUCCCUGGGCUACAAACGAAUUUAAUCGCUUGCGAAUCGAUCGUGAGAGACUCGAGUCCAGCUAGGUCAACAUUGAGCUCGAGUCAAGUUCGAUCUUGAACUCAAAUUCAAAAAUAUUAAACCCGUUAGCUCGCGAGUCAACUCGAACUCGAUUAUAUAUAUUAUUUUUUAUUUUAAUAAUAAAAUUAAAUAUAUAUUCUUAAUAUUUUAUUAUUUGUUAAGGAAAAUUAUUAUUUUAUUUAUUUUUUAAAAAUUAAAUAAUUUUUUUUCAUUUUUUUAAACUCGAGUUCAAGAUCGAGUUUUACAUUUUGAGCUCAUCGAGCUCGAGUUCGAAUUUCAUAAACUUAGGUUGAGACUGAAUUUAAUUAGUUCAAAACUUGACUCAUCUUAACUCAUUUGCACCCGUAAUUGUUCCCAUGCUGGUACGAAUGAACAAAAAAUCGGACCUCAAUCUGGAAGGAAAAUCGAGAGCAGCACAACUAGCAAUUCAUGUCAAUAUAGCAAUCACAUGGUGUGCUUAACACUAAUCAAUAUGGCAUAAACAUAAAAAAAUGGUCUUGUCUUUCCGAAGGAAGUCUAGAAUCCAAAAUAGAGAAGGGAAAGGUGGGGAGCUGUUUGUGUUUUUAAACUCGGAUCAAACCGACUGGUUCGACUGGUUGAACCGAGAAUCAGCUAGGCUUUCAGUCCGAGUUCAUUCAAAAAACCGCCCUAAAUAAAAAUCAGUCAAAAUCGGGUCUGACCGGGAAUUGAAAAUAACCAUAAGGACCGGGUUUGUUUUAUUUGUUUGGUAUUCUGCUUUUCUUCUUCACUUUUUGACUGUUCCUAUCCCUAAAGAGAUGAUCACUAACCUUUAACUACCCUAUGUUCUCUCACGGAUACUUCCAUGGUGGUAAUCUAGCAAGAGCCUUUCAUGGUUGCCAUCAUAGUUGCUAGAUCUGGAACUUAAAAAAAAAAGGAUGGCUAGUUCUGAAAUAAAAAAAAAAAGGAAAAGAUGAAUCAGCAAGAUGAUGAAAAGAAAACAAGGAUUGAAACUUACGAGCUAACGAGUUAAGUAUCUUUAAACUCUAGUUUGCUCGAGCUCGGUCACUUCAAUUGCGAGUAACUCGACUCAUUUGGACCUCUAGGAUUGAUUGAAGCUCUGAUGUGGUAUGAUUUUUCUAAGUAUUUAUUUAUUUGACUUGUACUUUUUUUUUUUCAAUGCUCCAUUGAUUUGUUAACCAUUCUUUUCCCUUUCUGGUAUUAGGACUGCAUGGUUAUUAUUAUGUUUGGGAUUUUAAGAAUGCAAAGUUCAAGACCAUACCACUUUGCUGAAAUAUUUCUUGAAAUUUUCUUUUACAAUAAAAUGCCUAAUAUUAGAACACUUGUAAAUGCCUCUAAAGCCUAUUUUGUGUUCGUAUCGCCCACAUUCUUUUAAAACCGGCCUGAUAUUAGUUAAAAAUAGUAAAGAUCGUAGACUCAAUAUAAUUUGCCUGAAAUUUAAUAGGACCAAAUUGAUUAAUUUUCUAAAUAUCAAGGACUAAAUUUUCUUCCUUGAAACAAAAAGAACCAUUUUACCCACAUCCUAAUUGUUGAGGACCAAAAUCUAAUUAGUUUAAGACUGAGGCGGAGGACAACCACCAGAAGAGAGGUAAAUGGAGUUCUGGAGGGUGGUUGCCCCUCUCUUCUGCUUCUGUUCCUCUAAAAAAUGCAAUUCCUUCUUUCUAAAUCCAAAUCAUUUAUAUAUAUAUAUAUAUAUAUAUAUAUAUAUAUAUAUAUAUAAUAAAGUCGUAUUCUCAUACUUAUCCCUUCAUAUUUUCUCUUUCUUACGUGGCUUAACGAGACGGCAAGUAGUUUCCUACGUGGCUUACUCCUUUUUUGUUUGGAUAUAUAUCAAUUCUUAUUUUCUAUAGAAAUUCUUGAUAUUAUAUGAUUCUUAUUUCUUACCCAAAAAAGGAACUAGAAAGUAAUGCGAUAUAAAUAAAAGAGACAUAAAUCUCCUCUAUUAGAUAUAUAGGAAUAAAUGAUAAUAUAUUUUUUUAUAGUGUCCUAUUCUUUUUUUUUUUAACAGCUUCAUCAUAGAUCCUUUUUAUUUUAAGAUAAGUUACCCAUAUAUAGAACAACAUACAAACAAUCUAGACAUGGAAAUUAAAGAAAGUUAGCUCAAGAAAGUUUUUACAAGACUCACAAUCCCCAUGCAUAAUUGAUGUACAAAGAGAAAUGGCACUUCAUCUGAUUGAAAAAUUCUGGAAAAGUCCAUAAAAAAAAUGGAGUGUCAUCAACCAAAGAAAUAAAAUCCCAUUAUCAUAGCUAAAGAAAGAUGAGAUAAAACAUUAGAUAUUUAUUGAAGUUUUGCACCCCGAAAGCCCCUACCCGACCUCCGUCCGUCGUGUCCUCCGCCCGUCUUUUUUUUUAAUAUAUUUCUGCUAAUAAUUCCUUAAUCACAAUACAUCUUUGCCUAGAUGGUGGGGAGUAUUUCGUGUGUGGACCCACAUCAUAGGAGUCCAUGCACUUAAAGGACUUGAUAUAGUGGAGGUGGUCUUUUAAGGUCGAUAAAAUCUAUCUUGAUAACGCAUUUGUAAAUUUAUUACGUACAGGUUUAUAUACGUGCAUAGUACGAGUCACAUAAGGUCUUAUUUCCUACCCAAAGUUAAUUGGACGAUUAUGGUUUUAUUUCCUAUAAGAAUUCUUAAUAUUAUAAGAUUCUUAUUUCCUACCCAAAGUUACGUAAUUUAAGCAACUUAAAUUAAGAUAAACAUACUUUUAAUGUUCUUAUCAAUAUCUCUUUGUAUACUUAUCAAUUCUUAUUUCCUAUGUCUAUACUACAUAUAGCCUCUAAUAUAUUGAUUUCAAGUAUCAAAUUCAUGGUUAGGUAUUUCCAGUGCAAGCGGUUGGCAUAUUAAAGUAUCGAUUUUGGGUUUUCACUCCUCUUGAUUAUCAGGUACAUCUUUUUUCAAUAUAUAUAUAUAUAUAUAUAUAUAUAUAUAUAUUUUAAAAAAGGCAUGUUGAUCUUCAAUUGUAAGAGCUUAGUAACAUAUCUUGAAUUUUUUUUGUUUUAUUUUCUAUUUGUUUUGUAUGAAGACAUAGGAUUUAAACAAGUACUUUCAUCGUUAUUUUUGUAGGAUUUUUUCUAACAUAUUUGUUAAUUGAUUUUUGUGAUCAUAUACUACGAUGUUUGUUAAUUUGCCUUCAGGAAAAACGACCAAAAACAAAAGGCACUGGAAAGUAAUGCGAUAUAAAUACAAGAAACAUAAAUAUCUCUAUUAAAUAUAUCUGCAAAUUCAUUAGUUAAUUAAAAGACUCUGGCCGUUUAUUUAAUUAUAAUCUUUACGUAUUGUUAUACACAAACUUGAAUGCGAUAAAUCAUUUAUUUUUUUUAUAUUUAGUUAUCCUACUUUGCUAUCAUGCAGUGAUAAUAGAAAAUCAAUAAAUGCUGAUUUGCACGGACAAAUCGAAGAGAAUGUUCAAAUAGAAAAAAACAAAAAAAAAAGUUUCUAAAUAGUAGAAUAUUAUUUGAUACUAUUUACUGCACUUUUUAUUUAUUUUCAAGUUUUUGAAUGUUAUGGUAUUGUUGAAUGUUAUUUUUUCUAUUUUUGAAUUAUUAUUCACUGAAUUAGAUGUUCAAAUUUAUAUUAUAAGAAUACUUUACAUUACAAUGCGCACAUGGUAAUAUACUUAAGACAAAUUAUAAUAGAUUAUACAUUAAAUAUGUAUUUUAUAUCGACAUUUUUAUAAAUUGACUAAAGUUUAUUAUUUUUCGAUGAUUCCCGUUCAACGAACGGGUACAAAACUAGUUCUAUAUAUUUUCGAUGUGAAAUACGAAGGGGCAAAAGGUAGUUUUGGAUGACAAUCAUUUUCUUGCACAGUUGCACGUACCUAUUACGCGUUAAUUUACAACAAACUCAAAGAAGUCAUUGCAGUUGGUGGAGUCAGUGACCCAUCUUAAUGUGAUAACUUAUCUUUUUGGAAGAAUAAUUAAAAAGUGAAUUAAAGAAUGAUUAGUGGUACAAAUCAGUCACUACCACCCAAUAAAUACUGCAAGUUGUCAUGUGAAAAGGAUCUUCCGUUUAUUUAAAUGUAAUUAAAGGCAAGGGGAUUGCCGCUUAAGCUACUCAAUCACAACAUGUACUAGUAAUAAGCAUUUAGCUGUACAUGUCUUUCGAGGUGGACAUAAGGUGUAAACUAUUUAGCCAAACCUGCUUUUUUUUUUAUAUAAUAUUUUCAGGUUCAUUCAUUUAAGAUACGUUUGACAAAAUUGAAAUUUCAAAUCUGACGUUUGAAAACCGACAUCUGAAUCCGUUAAAUUAUUAAAUUAUAAAUACUGAAAUCAUAAUAUUUGAGCUUAUUCUGCAUUAAAUGAAAUCCUACACAAUUUGGAACCAUUUAAUUAAUUAAAAUGCUCAAUUUCUUGUUAUCAAACAUGUCUAGAAAUGUUAAAGAUCUGAAUGUAUUAAGCAAGUUUAAGUGCUGAAGUGAGUUAUCAAAUAGGGUUUUAUUUUGAUUUGCUACUUUUUUUUUCCGGAAACGACAAUUGUAAUAUAUCAUAAUCUAUCCUACACUAGGGGGAGGGGGUGGACCUAAAGAGGUUCAGGGAUAAUCCGGAAGGGACUGAAUUACCACCAGACCAAAUGGGUGCACUACGUACUCGUCUGGGUUUUUUGAAACAAAUCCACAUUUAAUUGUGGUGAUUGGUGGGAUGGUGGCCACAAGCCCAAAGGCUGAUGGUUCCUUAAUUUCGGAGUUUUGAUGGCAUCCGGUGCAUCAGUGCUGGUAUGAUCGCAACCAAGAAGGAAGAUUUGCUACUCACUAUUAUUGUUCCCAAUGUCUGGUACGAAUGAACGAAAAAUCGGACCUCGAUAUGGAAGGAAAAUCGGGAACAGCACAACUAGCAAUUCAUGUCAAUAGCAAUCACAUGGUGUGCUUAACUCUAAUCGAUAUGGCACAAACAUAAAAAGUAGUCUUGUCUUUCCGGAGGAAGUCCAGGAUCCAAAAUAUAGAAGGGAAAGGUGGGGGGAUGUAGGAGGAAUGAAAAUUUUGUGCAAAGAGAGGGAGAUGGAGAGGGCCUAGUUCUUGGAUAAACACCAAAGCGCUAACAGGAAGGGAGGAGAAGUGAAGAAAGAGGAAAGACAUUUGUAGAGGGUGUAAAUGAGUCUAAUAAAAUCAAAUGUCAUAGUAUUUAAAUUUGUUUAGUUAUUUUAACGAGUUUGAAAUUUUAUUAAAAUUUAAAUAAUUUAUUUGUCAAAUCGAAAUUAAAUAAUUUUUUUCAGCGAAUAUAAAAUAUUAUUCAAUUUUAAAUUAAUUAAUUGACGAAUCAAAAUUGAAUGAACUUUUAUCAAAUAAAACUCGAUUCGAAUAUUGAAUAGUUUGACUCCUCUUCCAAUCCUAUACAUUUGUUUGGCGCUUCGGAUGGUGGUGAGUGAAAAAGGCUUUUUUUUUCUCAGGCCUAUGGCCGUAGAUAUUGGAGAGAGAAGGAAACGGCGGCGGCGAUACAGUGGUAAGGGAAAGGCUACUAGGGUUUGAUUUGAAGCAGGAGGUCAAACCCAGACGACAACUAAUGAAACGCCACUGGAUUUGUUGAAAUUUACAGCAUAACUGCUUUCAUGAAAAUGCAACUGAAGUUGCUCGAAAUUACGUUAGGCAACUCAUACUUUAGUGUAGUGAAAAUAUGAUAUGAUUUGAGUUACAAAAUUCAAAAGGACAAAACACUCUUACCGUAAAAUUCAAUCGGAUUACUCUUACAGACCACUAUACUUUUUCUUAUAACCUAAAUGACAAACUGAAGGCACACAAGAAGUAGAACUGCAGAAGAAGAACCAAAGAGAGUAAAAGUCAAUCAGGUAAUGAUGUUCAAUCCUAUGUCAGUCAUGUUUCCUAAUUCUUCUGAUUGUUGCUAGCAUUUGACAUUGACUCACUGCUUGUUCAGAAGUAUAAAGUGCAAUUUUUGUACUUUCAUAUGCAAGUUCCCCCCCCCCUCCUCCCCCUUUCUUUCUUGAGGAUACCAACUAGACAGCAGAAAAAAUUACACAUAUACCUUUAAACCUUGGUGUUGCUGAAUUGUCAGAUGAUAUAUAUAUAUAUAUAUAUAUAUAUAUAUAUAUAUAUAUAUUUGAAAAUGGAUGCUCAAAUGCCUGAGAGUUGAAUCAGAUGAUGAAUUUGAUUUUUGCGCUAUAAAAUGGUAAAAUCGUGCAAACCACGAAUGCAAGGUUGCCAUGCACAUUUUGAUAGACCUAUUUUGAGCUGACACUAGCUUAUAGAAGCCUCUAAAACUCGACAAUCCUUUAGAGGAUCCUGAAUUUGGAUGUUAACCACUUCCGUUUACCCCAGACCUUCAUAAUGGAGUUAGUCCGUUUUGAAGUAUUUACAGAUGCUUCUACAUGAUUGAAGGUUUUGGAUGAUAACAGACAACUAAAGUCCAGAAAGGCUUGAAGAAAAAUACUGCUAGAAAUCUCAUUGUGGAUGUGUAGGAAAACUUUUGGUUUGUAUUGACACAAUUUACGGUGUAAUAAGGUCUUUAGGUCAAUCAUUUAUGUUGUGUGCCUGGCGCUCCAUUUGAUACCCUCAUUUUAAAGACAAUGCAUCCAUGUUUCUGUUAGAAGUCUCAAAUGGGGUUCUUAUACAGAUUUUCACCUUUUUUCACCUGUUGUUCUUGAGAAAUUUUGUAUAUGACGAAAGCCUAAUCCAUCUUGUGCCAUCGUCUAUGUCUUUGAUGCUGGAAUUUGUCCUUGCUUCCUGUCCAGUUUCUCUUCUUUACAGCUGGAUUGCUAUUGUGAAUAAAGAGAGGAAAGGAGAGGAAAGAACCAAAAAGUUGCAUGGCCUUCCCCAUUCCAGACAGAGUAAAGAGGCUAUGGGAUGAGUGGAAUCUUCGUGCUGCUGUUCUCAUCAGUCUUUUUUUCCAAUGGUGUUAAUAUGCUGUGCGGCAUCACGUAAAAGAACAGGAAACAUGAUAGUGACUGCUACCACCUGGUUAUUUUAUCUGCUUGCUGAUUGGUUUGCAGCUUUUGCUGUUGGACUCAUCUCCAACGGUCAAAGUAAUAAUUGUCCUGAGAAAUUUGCAGUAAAUCAAGACCUUGCAGCAUUUUGGGCUCCAUUUCUAUUGCCACAUCUUGGUGGCCCUGAUAAUAUUACCGCCAUCUCGCUUGAAGACAAUGAGCUGUGGAUUAGGCAUCUGCUUGGGCUUAUCAUUCAGUUUUCUGCUGUUGCUUAUGUUUUUUCACAAUCCCUGCGUAACGUAUUCUAUGUCCCCACAAUACUCUUGAUUUUUGCUGGAACUAUUAAAUAUGCUGAGCGAACACGGGCUUUAUAUUUAGCUUGUUUGGGUAAUAUUAAGGAUUCUAUGCUUCCACUGCCAGAUGCUGGACCAAACUAUGCAGCUUAUGGAGGAGUACUCAUCUAAGGAAGCUGCUCAAGUUCCAGUUGAGAUAGAGAUAGUGAAGGAACAUGACAGAGGCACUCAGACUUCUGCAAAUCCAGAAGAAGAGAAUUUGAGUCCUGAAGACAUCAGUGAUAUAGAUAUUGUGCAAAAUGGGUAUGAAUUGUUUACCACUUUUAGGGGCCUGAUUGUUGACCAUAUGUUUAGCUUUCAUGAGCGCAGUAAGAGCAGAAAAUUUUUCUUCCAAAGGUCUGCAUUUGAUGCUUUCAGAGUAAUGGAGGUGGAGCUCAAUUUCAUAUAUGAUACUCUCUACACUAAGAUGGCUGUGGUACACAGUAAAAAAGGUUAUUGUCUUCGAUUGAUCUGCUCUAUACUUAUAGUGCUUUCUUUUGAGAGAUUUGCAUCACAUCAUAAACCCGAUAUUAACCAUUUUGAUGUUGCUACUACCUACAUUUUGCUUUCGGGAGCUGUUCUCUUGGAUUUUGUAGCCUUUACUAAGCUCAUUUUCUCAGACUGGACCAUAGUCAAGCUUAAGAAUCUCACAGUCAAAACAACUGUAUAUGCAGUCCGUGAAAAGCUGUCAUGUUCCAAAAGGUGGUCUAAUACCCUUUGGCAAUGUAACUUGAUAAACUUUUGUGUGAAUCAGCGUUGGAGAUGGUUAGAUAUUGCAGCUGAAACCGUUGGAAUCAAGGAUGUUCUUGAUGAAAUGUACUACAAGGAGGACGUUGUCAUUCCAGAGGACUUAAAGGAUUUCAUCUUUAUUGAGUUCAAGGUUAAAGCUACCAAAGCAAAAACCACAAAUGUUGCUAAAGAGAUAUACUCAGCAAGAGGUGAUUUGGCACUGUUGGAUUACACCAAUCACUACCCAUAUCCCAUCAUUUCAUCAAGUGUAGGUGACGAAGUUGAAUACGAUGAGAGCCUGUUGCUGUGGCAUAUUGCCACUGAGCUAUGCUAUUGCACGACUCCUGAUGAUGGCAAUUCCAAUCGCAAUUAUUGUAAGCUUAUAUCUGAUUAUAUGUUGUAUCUUUUGGUUAUGAGGCCUAAUUUGAUGUCUGCAGUUUCUGGCAUUGGACAAAUUCGAUUUCGGGACACAUGUGAAGAAGCUAAGAAGUUCUUCAGCAGGUGGAAAUCAGAACUAAUUAUAAGAACCCCAGGCUUGGGAAUUUGCAGAAAAUUGAUCACCUGCUGCAUAGCCCAGAAUGGAUUAACUGGAAAGAGACUCAAGUUCAGCAAAUCGAAAAAGAAAUGCAUGCGAAAAGCUACUUAAUGUAAAUGCUCUUGUUAAAGCCAUUGAGGUGAAGGGAGAUAGAAGCAAAUCAAUAUUGUUCGAUGCCUGUAGGCUUGCAAAGGAUUUGAAAAAGUUUAAUGAUAAGAACAGGUGGGAGAUAAUGAGUAAAGUGUGGGUGGAACUGUUGUCCUAUGCUGCCAGUCACUGCCGAGCAAAUGCUCAUGCUCAGCAGCUCAGUAAAGGUGGUGAGCUCAUUACUUUUGUCUGGAUAGUGAUGGCUCAUUUUGGAUUGGGAGAGCAAUUCCGAAUUGAGGCGGGACAUGCAAGAGCAAAACUGAUUGUCGGAAAAUAGCAACUAAGAGUGACCAUCAUUCUAGCUGUAAAAUGAAAGAGUCCUCCAACUUGGACGUACUCCUUGACUUAGGUGAGAUUUGUGCGUUGCAAAAGACUUCCCUUAUCCCUUUUUUUCUUUUGAGUUUCAAUUUCAGAGCCACAAUUCACACUAGUGCUUUUUAUAAGAUGUGCUGAUUUAUCUUAUGUUUCCUGUGGCUUUGGUAUCAAGUGAGCAUUAUGUGAAGUUUUUUCAUAUGUCAUUCACACACAUUAGGAUGUGUGUUCUAAUAUGUUGCCUGUGCUUUUCUUUCUCUGUUUGAAAUACGAAAAUACUUUUAUGACAAAAACAUGAAAAGCUGGAUUACCAAUAUUUCAUGGGGAGAAGGAAUUGCUGACUGAAUCUCAUCUCUCCAACCAAAUAACUUGUGAAAGGCAUAACAGGUGUAAGUAGUACAGUAGUAUCCGUCUUGUGAAACACAGUCACCUCAGUUCAUCUUCCUCAUUUGAUACUGAUACUGACAUCUUUUGUAGAACUUAAAACUUACACUUUUCCUCUUUUAGCGAAUCAACAAUCAGUUAUUCCAUUUUUCCGAACGAAUAUUCACUUCAUUUGAGCUGAUUUCAGCGCUUUUCUCAGCUCCAUGUUAGCUAAGGACGGAGGUAAAAUAGAAUUCAACUGAGGAGGUUCUCUUAUAAAACAAAGAAUAAACAAAAUGAAGUUUCUAAUUCUUAUAAUCUUAUUAUGAUUAUCAUUAUUUUGUUUUUUCGGUUUUUCGGUUUCGACCAUGGUUCAAAGUCGUGGUCGCGGUCACGGUCGCGGCCUGGAACGUUCCACAUCGGUCUCGGCAUAUCGGUCGCGGUCUCGGUGAGACGCAAAUUUUAAAAUAUUUAAUAUUCUAAAAAUUAUUAAUAAUAUAAAAAAAGUAUGCUAAACAAAAAUAAUAAAAAAUAGCAAAAGAAAUGGCCGAGUCAAUCUGUCACGGUGUAACUCGGCCAAUUUCUCGUCUUGACUCGGGAUAACUCGGAGUGACUCGGUGUGACUCGGCCGAGUCAAUCCGUCGCGGUGACGUCUCGGCCGAUUUCUCGGCGAGUCAAAUAUCUCGGUAUCGUUUCGUCACGGUAUCGUAUCGGUAGGGACCGAGACGGUGACGACUCGGCCGAGUCGUCUCGGUCUCGGCCGAGACUUCGAACCAUGGUUUCGACCCUUUCUUUAGUGAGUGCAGACUGCAGACCAUAAUACACGUCAAGGCAACUGCAAUGCUAGUGGUAAAAAGUAAGAUAAUGUUAUUUUUCCAGGCCAAACCAUUUUUUUUAACCUCCCACCCUUCCCACUCCCAAUUGUUGAGUCCAAAAUUUGAACCCUCAACCAAAUAGCGGGGUAAGUCCCUGACUACUUGGCCAACUUAGAUUCUUCUGUCUGAGAAAACAAGUUUCAUCGGCUAAAAGACUCGCAUCUGAAAAGUGUAACAUGUUGUUUUCAUAGGUAUCACGAACUAUGUCUUCUGGAAUUGUGCAGAUGUCAAAAUGUCAAUUCUUUUGGGCUGAAGAAACAAAUGACCAUUUCUUGUCUUCCAGCAUCAUGAUUUACACAUUUGCGAUUUUUUCCCUCUUCUAGUAGUGCAGGAUCUAGUUUGACAUUGACUGAUGGCGAUUGUACUAUGAUGCAUUGACAGCAAAGUGGGGAGGUGGUGCGUGUCAUUUCCAGCAGAAUUUGCUGGGAUGCUAUUAAAUGUGCAUAUAAGACCAGGCGAAUAUCAACCUUCCUUUUACUAUGUUAGGCUGCCUGAUUUAUGCUAUCUGUUCAUUUACCAUUGACCAAGCGCGGCUCCAUGGUAGACGAACGGUUUAUUUUCAUCAAUGGUGUGCCAUUGUCAUGUUCUCAAUUUGCUCCAUCAUAGAGAAAUUGUGAUCUGGUGGCCUUCACCUCCUCUUAGUACAUUCAAGCCAACUGUUGAUGGUUUGGCGAAAUUAAUAGGUAUAGCAGUAAUGGUCCUCCCCAGGUUGUACCGCACUGGCGUUAUAAGUUCUAUGCAGAAGCUCUUAUUAAGGAGGAGGUUGAGACUAGAUUUUCCAAGAAGGCAUAUGAAUUUUCAUGGUUUAUGGAUUGAAAUGCUUGCUGGUGAGAUUAAUCAAAGAAUUAGUAGAGGGGAAGGAAAAUCCAACUUCUCAUAUGUAUCCAAAUAGUGCUGGCGCUGCAUCAGUAGAAAGGAGAUGCAAGCAUAAUCGUAGUAGCAGACUUGUAAACUAGAUAGGUUGCAUGUUUUUCUAGAUGGAAGCAAGGCACCUUAUAUCUUGUACUUCUCUUGUAAGCUACUUAGUCACUAGUGCAUUUACCUUCAAAGGAAAAAAACAUCGGAAAAAAUAUUAAUACAAAAGAAUAAUUAUUAGGAAAGACAUACUUGGUACAAGCAUAUACGCAAUAGGGGUUAGGAAUCAAUUAAAUUGAUCAAAGUUUACUGAAAAUGAGGGAGUGAAAAAGAACGAGAAUUAAUUACUAGCAGAAAAAAAAAAGGGCAAAAAACCAAGAAAAACAAACAUUGCCGCAAGCGAGGGCUUCCAUUGACAUCUCUUGUACAUUUCCGAUUCAGCAAACUUAUCAAAUCGGGAACUGAACUGUAUUUUGUUUUAAGUUUUAACUGAAGGCUGAAUCAGUUAAAUCUCGGGCUAAGCUCUACAACCUCAGGAAGCAUGUCUAAGCCCAAUUCCAGAAUUAGUUUCUUGUUAGAUUAUUUAUGUAUGUCGAGCACAUGUAGUUUGCAAUAGACUUGGAGUUUUUCUCAUAGUUAUUAAACCCAAUUUGAUCUGGUGGUUCGACUCGUCAAGCCUGUGAACUGGUCAUUGAACCAUGCCAAAUUUUUUGAUUCAAACAUUCCUACAAGUGAACCGUUGACUUUUUAACGGAUCGACGGUUUAAUCGGUCAAUCCGAUGAACCAUUCGGUUUUAUAGGGAACCCAGUUUACAUGUUAAAAAUUUUUAGAUGUGAAGAUUUGAACCCAAACUUCUUGUAUAUAUGCAAAUGCAAUUACCACUACAGCAACAACUCAUUUGUUGAUUGUUUAGUCUUUUUUAUAUUAUCUAUUAGACUUUUAUCCUUAUUUUAUUUUUUAAAAAUAAAAUUUAUUUGGAAUCUUUUAAUAAAUUUUAUUACUCCCCAAACUCUAUAAAUUAUGAAACGAAUAUAAAACAUAACAUAUCACACAAUUCAUUCUAAUAUCGUUUAAUAACUAUCAUAAUAAGUUUUUACACACAAUUCAUGUCUAAUAAUCUUUUGCACCUAAAAUUCAUAAAUAAACCCGAUAAUUACACUUAAAUAAAAUUUUAUACUUGAACUUUGAUAGAUUACUAAUUGAAUUUAGGUUUUAUUAAUUUUUAUAAGAAUUAAUGAUUCUAUAAUAAAUUAGGCAAAUUCAGCAUUUACUAUGACAUAAUUUAUUAUAGUUUUAACUAUAUCAAAAAUUAUGAAAUAUAAUAUUUAAAUAUAUUUAGUGACUCACCGGUUGAACCACUCACUCACUGGUUGAACCAGUAACUCAUUCACUCACCUCUUUCGUCAGCUCCCUUUCGGAUCGGGUUUAAUAACUAUAGUUUUUCUAGUCGAACUUUGGGAAGAAAACUGAAAAUUGAGUGGCCAAGCUGAUUUAACUUGAGACAUUACUUCAUGGUGUCAGUAAAUUAGAGCUGUAGGCUUUGCCAUUGUGUUCCCUUCUCACAAGUAGGAUUAAUCAAAUCAAGCUUCUGGGGUCAAUACCAUGAUUUGGAGCAAGGGAACAUGCACAGCGAGGGAUAAUGUCCAGAAGUUUCUUCAGCUGUUUGUUAGAACACGCGUGUCAUUUGUGGACUCUCAGCAACUUUACCUCCAACAAACAGGACAACAUUAGAGAUUGCAGAAACAACUCAAUUGGGUGAGAGCCACGUCAAGGGAUCGAGUCCCCGGAUAAAUUUGGUCGGUGACGUUGGGCAGCCUCUCUCGGCCCACAGUUGGGAUUAGUUGGGUCGUACGGUAUUACCAGUCUAUGGGCUCAGAUACCCAACUGUGUCGAAAAAAAAAAGAAAAAAAAAAGAAAAAAGAAGGAUGCACCAAAUAACAGGACAACAUUAGCUUUAACAACGAAUGCAAAAGCUACAGUUGCAAUAAAAGCUAUAAUCUUCAGUGUCCAUCCAAUCAUCCUUUACUCCGACCGUAUGCAAAGAUAGGUUAGUCCAACCCAUCCGUUGGCAUUUCCUAUGACACAUCGUAAAUUAGAUCCUCUAUAAUUUUAUAACUUUUCUUGAAGUUAGCUUGGUCUUGUCAGAUGUAACUGCAAAACUUGAUUGUUGUACCCAAACAUACAAUAAAACCAGAAAAUAAGUGUAAUUCUUGUUAAAACUCAGAAUGAGAUCUUAAAGUCUAAUAAAAACUAGUAAGUUAUUAACCAUUUGAGAUAUAGACCCUAAUCCAAGGAUGUUAACCAACCUAAAUGUGUUGUUUUAUGGUGUGUGAACUGAUAGCUGCAUCCAAAAAUGGCUACAGUCUUCCAUUUUGCCUACCUGAUCUGCUGAUUACCACCUAAUUUCUUACAUCUUUUUAAUUUUCGAGUAAUUUUGCCACUGCUUAAGUUGUAUUAGUAAGAUUUGAAUACGACAUGAUUUUUUUUCAUAUGUUCAUCAGAACAUUUUAGAUAUAAUUAAACUAUGUUAUGCAAUUAACUUGGAAUGAAGUUACAAAUUUCUUGUUAUCAAUUUUAUAUGCCAGAUGUUGAGGAUUUAACUAUUAUUAGCUUCUUUGCUCCUUAGUGGUAUUCUAACUGAAUUUUAGCUUUAUAAUUUUUGAGCAAGUACUAAUAUAAAAUUCAGUUUAAUAACAAUGAAUGCAUAAAUGCAGUGAGACAAUAGAGCAAUCCAUAUCAUAUGGCCAUUUGUAGGCAGAUAGAUCAUUGAUAGUACUAAUCUACUGGCUAAUUGCAUGAGCAUUAUAACUAACACUCUAAGGUGGAAAAUGAACCUAUAAAUUUUUUUUACCGUGUAUAUUGCUGCUGCACAAAACAAGAAUAAUAUUAACAAAACAGCCUCCAUUGAUCUCACAUAGAUAAGCAGACAUAGACUAAUAUCUCCAAAAUACCUAUCUUGUACAGACAUCCGUCACUAAGAGAAUCAUCAGACUUCACUCUUAUUAUGUUUUUGUCUAAAUUUAACAUCCCAAAUUUAUUUUCAUUAAAAAUUUCCUCUCUUAUAUGGUUAAAUGGGACAUAAAAUCGUCACAAAAAAAAAAGAAAUAAUUCUUUUCUAUCUUAAAAUGGGACCUAAAAUUGUUAUAACAAAAAAAAUUAAUUCUUUUGAAUUUAUCUAUUAAAAUUUGAGGUAUCCAAAUGAAUAACACCAAAGAUUGACAAUAUGUAUAAUCGUCAUUAGAAAAUUAAAAAAUAUAUAUCCAAUUCAAAUAGAAAAUUUUGAACUUUACUGAAUCAUCAUCAUCAUCAAGUAACAUAACACAAUAUACCAAAAAAAAAAAAGGGAGAAAAAUCCAAAACAGAAUAUGAAAAAAAAAGAAAAAACAACAAAUCAAUAAAAAAUUAAAAAUAAAUGGAAAUUAAAGUAAAAAAUGUAAAUAUGGACAAUGAGCUCAUGCAAAGGUGAUCGGACGUUAGCAAUUGUGAAGACGUCUGAAAAGUACACCUCGGAUGGUACAUCCGGACUAUACCUUAAAAAAGAUAAAAAGAAAACAUAUUAUGUAUAAAAAGUCUACAAUUCCAACUAUCAAUUACCUGAUUUCUAGUUUCACCUAAAGAUUUCAUGGAAUCACUGUCCAAUAAGGUUUGUAAUUUUGCAUGUAUGCAUCAUUAAUUCCAAUAGUCGAAAUAACCAGGGCAUCUGGUAUACAUUAAAGUUUAUGUUCACUAUGUGUAUCUAAAGUUAAUGCCUUGGGUUUGGUUAAACUUUCUUUGAUUGUUAGUGUUUAUUAUUUGGCUAUUUGAUGCGAUUAUUUUGAGCAAGUUAUUUGGCACUUUAGCUCUUUAAAUCAUGAUUAACUUGGUACCAUUAAUUGUGAUUGCUAAAUGUGUUGUUUCUUCAAUGAAAAUUGAGAUUUAACACUAGUUCAAAAAGUGCUAAACCUAUGGUGUACACUCACGAGAGUAGAAGUGUGUCUAUGUGGCUUUAGUGAUUCAUUUCAUGUAAUUUCAUAGAAGAAAUGAACUUGUAGCUAAUUUAAUAACCACGAGAGUAGGUAUAGAUUAGUUAUAAGUAUAGUUGAUUCAUUACGAGAAUAGGUUUCACAUGCAUAAGAAAAUUACGCCAUAACUAGCUAAGAUAGUAGUAAUCAAUGAUCCAAAAAUAGCAUUUGCAUGAAUGGUUAGGAAUACCAUAAUCUAAGGAGCUUUCAUUUGUUUUUAUCUUGCAUAAGUUUAACAUAGUUUUAUCUCUUUUAAUUCAUUGAUCGUCUAAAUAAUAGAGAAGUUUUAGCAGUGCCGGUAUUUGUCCAAUCUUUCUCAUGGGAUUGACCCGAUAUUUGUCAUAAACUACUAAUUUGACCUAUAUACUUGCAGUCAAAAAGGGUAUAUUUCGGAAUUAAACUUGUACUUAUAUCAAAAGCCCAUCAGUAGCUCAAAGAAACUAUAUUUUGAAAACGAUACGAUGAAAAUCACUUCAAAUUAUAAACAUCACUUGACUCUAUUAAUUUGAUCAGAACUCACCAAAAAUGAGUGUGUGUGUCCAAUUUGACCUGUAUUUCAUUUAAAAAUAUACAUAAAAACAAGUUAGUUGAACACAAACCGAAUGAGAUCUGGAAGUCUAAUACAAAUUGGUAAGUUGCUAACCAUUUGAGGUAUAGACCCUAAUCCAAGGAUUUAAUCAGCCAAAAUAUCUUAUUCUAGGUUCUGUGAACUGGUAGUUGCAUUUAAAUUGGCUACAAUCUCCCAUCUCACCUACCUAAUCUACUGAUUACCAUCUAAUCCCUUACUCUUUUUUUUUAAAUUUUCAAUUAAUUUUGCUAAUGCUUAAGUGGUAUUAAUAAGAUAUGAAAGCGACAUGGAUUUUUUCAUAUGUUUGUCAAAACUUUUUAGAUAUAACUAAACUAUGUUAUGUAGUUAACAUGGAACGACCUUACUAUUUCAUAUUAUCAAUUUUACCUACCAGAUGUUGUGGUCUUAACUAUUAUUAGUUUCUUUGCACCUUAGUGGUUUUCUAACCAAAUUUUAUGUUUAGAAUUUUUGAGCACGUACUAACGUAAAAUUCAGCUCCACAACAACAAAUGCAUUAAUGCUAUGAGAUAAUAGAGAAAUCCAUAUCAAAAUGCUCAAUUGAAAAAAAAAAAGUGAAAGAAAAAAGGAACGAAUAUGUCAGAUGUGCUGUAAUUUCAUUAUUGGGUUGUGUAAAAACAUUUUCAUUUUGACAAUUGAACAUACAUAUAGACUUUGUAAUACCUUACUCUUGAAAUUCUUGUCUCUUCGUUUGAAGGUGAAAAGAAAUUACGGCAUAGUUAUUUCCAUAAGUCGUAGAAAACAAUCAAUAAAGGAAAAAGAAUAAGGUUUUGAUGGGGAAAAUUCAGAAAUUGGAACGGAACAAUGGGCUAUAUUUUUGUUAAGAACUGAAAAUCUUUUUCUUCAUUAUCCGUUCCUUCUUCAACUUACAUUCAGCUGUAAUGGCUGAAUUUAAAGUGGAAGCGAUGCAUCUACUUCAACAAUGUUGGAAACAGUUAUUGUCCUUAGCUACCUCAACUCCACACCAUUUAUACAUAAUGUGCUUGCUGUGCAUUCCAGGCUGGGAUUUGGACGCAUUCCAAUGUUGGAUUGUGGUGGGGUUUAAUACCAAAUCAAUGAAUUAAAUCCUUUAUAUAAAGGAGCUAAACAAACAAUUUUAUUACACUCAAAAUAUAUAUAAUAACAACAGACAAAAUACAUUUAUAUUAGACACUAAUAAUUGAGCCUCACUGUUGAGAUAUCUGCUCAAACACUCACUCCACAAUUGAACUCGUUCAUUUCCUAUCUUUCACUUGAGCUUUGGUGCCCUUCAACUGAGGAAAUGGCAUUUAUUUAUACUAGUAAGGAUCCUACAAGCGGCUGUAAUUUUCUCUUCUCAUUCAAUGCCCAAUUGCCAGAAAAUCUGGUGAACUUUGCAAGUAAAUCUGGUUCAAGAUACAAGCACGAACCAAAUUGAUCAGCCGCCCACGUUCAGCUUCAAGAUGGACUUUGGCAAUUUGUCUAUUGCCAAUAAAUGAGUAAAACAAACACUCCAAAGCCAUAAAA
rnacentral:lncRNA from 1 species